rnacentral:lncRNA from 1 species
UCCGGAAGACUUUUGUUAUUUUUUAACUUCUAUACUCCUUGCAGUUGUAGAAAACACAUCUUCUUUGGAUUAUCAUCUGGUAUCAUAGUCAAGUUGAUCAGAUGGUUAUCUCAAUCCAACCUACCAUCCCAUUUUUUGAAGGAAAGGGAUAUGAUACUUGGAGCAUAAAGAUGAGGACUCUUUUUAUCUCCGAAGAUCUGUGGGAGCUUGUGGAUAAGGGUUAUGUAGAAGAGGAAAUUCCAAGAGAUGCUAUGAGAGAUGUACGAAAGAAUGAUGCCAAGGCAUUGUUUUUUAUUCAACAAGCAAUCACAGAGAGUAUUUUUCCUCAAAUUUCAAAGGCAACGAAGUCUAAGGAAGCAUGGGACACUUUGCAAACAAAAUAUCAAAGCACAAGCCUGGUAUUAGUUACAAUGUAUUGAAUUUUUAGAUUCAGUCAAAUAAAGUAACAUAUACAUGUUUCCUACUAAUUUGUAAGAUUGGAAUGUGUUGUUGGAUUAAAGGGUUCUGACUACAACUUUAUAUUAAUGGGUUGUUGGAUAAUAUAUUUAGGAGUUUAUUUGAGUUUUUGUUGCUUAUUUAAUGGCAAGUAUGAUGGAUAAUAUUUGGGUUGAACUCAAUUAGAUUUCUUAUCUUUCAUCCUGAACUCUUUUUAAAUGCUUUAUUAUUUUUUUAACUUCUCUCUUCUAGCAAGGCAUCUUUUUCUUAUUAUUGUUAACGAUACAAUGACAUAAUAUAUCACUUCCAUUCAGCUCACUUUAGUUGAAUUCACUUUUAUUUGGGAGGAUUGAAGGACCUAAUAAAUACUUAGGAUAUGUUUGGUUCCAAAAGUAGGAAGAAAACAAAAACAAAAUAAAAUAAAAUAUUAAAUAAAAUUAUUUUCUCAUAUAUGGUUUUACUAUGAAAAAAUUAAAUAUAAUUAAAAAAUUAUUUAUUUUUAAUUUAUUUAACCUUUAUACAAAAUAGUUAAAAUAACUUAAAUGAGUUUGAAGUAAGUAGAAAUAUAAUUCAUUAAUUUUCAUACUAUUUUUUUAUUUUCAAUUGUUUCUUCUACUUUUCUUCUUUUCUUUACAUUUUCACUCAAAUUUCCUGGGUGCUUCUAACAACGGUGCAGAAUUACUGAAUUAACUCGUGUUCUGAUUUGAAUUAGGUUGCAGCUCAAGAUGGAGAUGGCAGCCAAACUGACAUCCCAGUCAUGGAUGACUCUGUGUAUGAGGCAGCAGCGAAGGGCGACAUUGACGUUCUGAAGAAAAUUCCAGAGUCCGAAUUUCAUGCCCAAUUAAGCCCAAAGCAUAACACAAUACUCCAUAUUGCAAGUGAAUUCGGUAAAAUAGAGUGUGUGAAUUGGAUCCUUGAUUUGCCUUCAUCUUCAUCUCUACUGCAACGCCCUAAUUUGAAUGAGGACACUCCCCUUCACCUUGCAGCAAGGCAAGGGCAUUUGGAGGUCGUGGAAGCUCUUAUAAAUGCUGCAAGAGAACCUACCCUAGAUAUUGAAACUGGGCCUGGACCACAUAAGGUUAUGCUGAGGAUGAAAAAUAAGGGGAAAGACACAGCCUUGCAUGAGGCAGUGCGAUAUAGGAAUUAUGGGGUGGUGAUGUUAUUGAUUGAGGAAGACCCCGAUUUUACCUAUGGUGCUAAUGAUUCAGGUAUCACUCCUCUUUACAUGGCUGUGGAGGGAGGAUUUACAGCCGCGGUGAAACUAAUCAUUGAGAAAAGUAGUACUUCGCCUUCUUACAAUGGCUUAAUGGGUAGAACUGCCUUGCACGCUGCUGUAAUAUGCAAUGACAUAGGUAGUAUGCUCACAACACUAAUGAUUAUGUUGUUUAUUUUGUUCAUUUGCUUAAUUUUCUUAAACUUUUUUUCCUUUCUCUAUUAAUCAGAAAUGACAAAGACAAUACUGGAAUGGAAGCCAGAUCUCACCAAAGAAGUAGAUAAGAAUGGAUGGUCUCCACUUCACUAUGCUGCAGAGAGAGGUUGUGAUCCAGAAAUAGUGAGGCUAUUGCUAGAAAAAUCAGAAAAGAGUGUAGCCUACCUUAGGAGCAAAGAUGGGAAGAAGACUGCCCUUCAUAUUGCAUCUUUCCACCAUCAUACAAAAAUAGUAGAGAAGAUCCUAUCUCACUCUCCUGGUUGUCGGGAGCAGGUUGAUGAUAAGGGCAAUAAUAUUUUUCACUUUGCCAUGAUGAAAGAGGGAGACGAUGAUUUUAACCCUAGUAGUUACUUCUUCAAUUAUUGGUUAAGGUCGAGAGGACUUGUAAAUGAGAAAAAUGCUCAAGGAAACACACCCAUCCACCUGCUCUCUCUUAAUCAAAUUUUAGAUUUUCGGUUUGUAUGGAAUUAUAAAGUGGAUAAGAAGGCGUACAACAAUGAAGACUUGACAGCUUAUGACAUAAUUUUGAGGGACAAAGAGGACAUUUCCGAGGAAAAGGUAAGACUCCCACAUAACUUCAAUUAUAUGUUUAUUGGCAAAUGCUAGUUUAAUUUACCCCGUUUCUCAUUUCUUUGAGCUGUGUUAUGUUUUGUUAUUUUUGGUAUGUUUGGAUUCCUUCAACCUAAACUUACCAUCCUUUCAGUCAUAGCCAAUCGAUUCAUGUUGGGAAUAAGAUCCAUCGCAUAAGCGUUAGCUAGUUUCUUAUUUUCUUGUCUCCAAAGUUUCAGGAUGGGAUAAUAGAGAAGGAAAAGAAAGAAAUAGAGGAAAAAAAUUACAAAAUGUUUAUUUCUUUUCAUUGUUCAUUGAGAAAUUAAGCAAAAGAAAUUUAAAUUUAAGAGGAAUGUACUUAGCAUAAACUUUUUUUUUUCAUAAAAAAAAAAGGGAAAUGAGAAAAAAAAUUGUUAGUAUCUUUUAUUUAGUAAUUUUUUUCUAAUCAUUUUUUCACUUGUAUCCAAAUGUUGAAAAAAGAAAAAAAAAACCAUCUUUCUUAAUUUUUUUUUUCCAUUACUUUCCAAAAUCAAAUGUAGUUUAAGAUUAAUUUGAGGAAAAGAAAAGGAAAAAGAGAAGAAAAUAAAAAGAUAAUAACAAUUUAUAAAAUUUUCUUUUAUUUUAUUGUUCAUAAAAAAAUUGAGAAAAAAAUUUAAAUUGUUGAGAAAUGCACUCUUUCCAAAUUUUUUCCAAUUUUUCUAAGGAAAAUAUUUUAUUUUUUCCAUUUUAUUUUAUUUUUUUAUAUUUCAUGAAUUCUUCUCAUACUAUAUUUAGUUUAUGAAAAACACUAAGGCUCUAUUUAUUUCAUUGUAAUUUUUUUUUCUAUUUUCUUUUCUUAAAAUUCUCCCUUAUGGUUUCUUUAAGAAAUAAACAUAGCCUUAUAAUUUGUUUUAGCUUUUUCUUUUUUUAUGACUAAAAAUAGUUUUAAGAUUUCUCAAGAACAUCAAGAAAACAUUUUUUCUUUUCCACAUUUUAAUUAUUUUUACCACAUUUUAAAGCAGUAGAAGGUGAAUAAGAUAAAGAGUUAAUAAAAUUUUAUUUUGCCUUUUCUUUUUCUUUUUAUCCUCAUGGAAUUAUUACCUAUACCUCCUAGAUGCAAAAAUAUGGUAAAACUAAAGGACGAUUCUUUUGUUUAUCUUUGUUGUUGAGAUCAUUGCAAAACAUGCGUUCCAAAACUUAUGAGGGUUAAAAAAUAAAAAUAAUUAAAAAUGAAAGGAAAGUUAGAACAUUUUUCCUUGUUUCUAAAUUAAUUGGAUUUAUUGAAUAAUUUAUGUUGAUGUUCAGAUUAAAAUGAAUUGGCACUCAUCAUCCUAUUUUUAUUAAGAAGUUUAGAUUAACCCCAAAUCUCUAGGAAUAAAUAAGCUUGAUUUGAUGUAUUUAAUUAAAGGUUGGUUAAGUUUGAUUGAUUUAUCACUUGUAUCAGAUUUUCAUUCAGCUUGUUUACCCACCAACGAGUGACUGAAUGUGAAAAAAGUGGAUUCAUCAAUUGAAUUAAAUUUAAAUGUUCCUCACAUCUGAUUUCAGGAUCGCAUCCAAUCUUGGUUGGAGGCUGUUACGACUGGACGUAUUUCUUCGUUUUGGGAGAAGGAAACUAAGAGACAGGAGAUAGAGCAAGAAAGGAAAGAAUACAUCUCUCAAUUACAAAAACAAGGGGAAACCCAUUUGAUAGUUUCUGCGCUUAUAACAACAGUAACUUUUGCUGCGGGUUUCACCUUGCCCGGUGGUUACAAAGAGGAUGAUGGCCAGGCAAUUUUAUCAAAGAAAGCAGCCUUUAGAGCAUUUGUUGUGACGGAUACCAUAGCCAUGGUAUCUUCACUAUGCGCCGUAUUUCUUCACUUUUUGAUGACCCUGCACAAACGUGGGAAGUUCCUUGAAAAACAUUUACUUUGGGCCUUUAGUUUGACCAUGGUUGGGAUGGGAGCAAUGGCCAUCGCUUUCGCAACCGGCUUGUACGCUGUUUUACCGCAUUCCUCGGGCCUUUCAGUUCUCACUUGCAUCCUCUGCUCUUGCUUUUUCCUCUCCAUUGCAGUUGAAUAUUGUAAAUUUUGGAGAGGUACGAUUUCGGAAUGGAUGUUUGGAUGAGCUAUUUUCUGAGAGGAGAGAGAGAACCGGGUCUGAGCUAACUGAUAUCCGAAGCAAGGAAAGCUGAAAGUAGGGAAUCAAAAUGUACUCAUUUGAAUGGGAAUUAUAUUUUAAAUCUGGGUGGAGUAUUGAACUCAUUUGUCAAUGGAUACAAUUGUGAAUACGAAUAAUGUUAGUAUUGGAAUUCAACGAGAUUUUUUAAUCUACACUAUGCAAUAUUUUAUGAAUUGGGGUUGGACUGGGCUGGCCCAACCAGGAAAUAUCUUCCGCGUUCACAAUUUUUAUAAGUUUAUAUUGAUGAAUGAUGAUGUCAAUUUUUAAUUAUUUUUUUCUAUUAUUGAUUCACAUCACUAAAAUCAAAUUUGUUAUAAACUGUUUUUGAUAAAUUUAUAUUAAUGAUAUCAUUUUUUUUUAUAAACUGUUUUUUCCAUUCAAUUAAAAUUAUUAUUUUUUUGUAUAAUUUCAUUAUGUAUAAAUUAUAUUUGAUGCAUUCAUUUUUUUUUUUUUUUUUUGUGAACUGAUUUUUUAUCCAUGGAUGUCAGUGUAUAAGAUUGGCAGUCAGAAUUUAAUUUCAUGAAUCAAUUCUUAUAAAAUUGAUACUACUAAAGUUAGAAUUGAUUAUUAUGAUCUUUAUUUUAUUUUUAAAAUUGAUUCUAAUAAAAUUGAGAUUAAAAAAUUAGAACUUUAUUCUGUAAAUUAUUUUUUAUAAAAUUUGAAGUGUUGUCUUGGAUUAUAACAAAAGACUUUUUUGGGUGUCUAGCACUUGAAUUGAGAUUACCAUGGCUUAUUUGAGUGUCUAGUCAUUGCGCUGGGAGUGAUUUGAAACAUGAACCUCAUGAUGGAAAAGUAAGAGAUAAGCCACCGAGCAAUAUAUCACAUUACUAAAUAUUUCUGUAUAAUCCUAUAAUGAUUUUUUUCCAACGUUUAUUUUUAUAAUAAUAGGUAUGAAAUUAUAUAAAUUGAUUUUUAAAAUUUUAAAUUAAUAAAAUAUGUGGAUAUAUAGAUAAAAUUAAAUAUUAUAAUUUUUUUUAUCUUAAAUAUCUUUAAACUUAAAUAUUAUAUAUAUUAUAUUUAAUAAAAUUUAAAAUAUUAAUAUAUUUAUACUUAUUUUUAUGAUUCAAUUUAACAUAUUAUAUAUAAAAAAUAAAUUAUUAUUAAAUUUUUAAUUGUUUAUUUUAAAUUUUAUAUAAUAUAUAUAUUAUAUAUUUAUGAUAUAAUUGAUUUGAUCAUUAGUCAACCAUGAAUUUGACUAUUGAAUUAUGAAUUAGUGUCUUUUUUAAGUCAAUAAAUGGUUCAUUUCUAAAAACAUUGUUAACACUUUUUUAUCGGGUGAAUUAAUCAAGAAAUUUAUUCUUGGCUCUUACACUUUGACCUUUUUAAGGUAUUCAGUUUAUUUUUUUUUUUGGUACUUAAACCAUUAAUGUAUUUUUUUUCUUUUUUCUUUUUUUAAAAUAAUUAGUAAUUACUUCAAAUAAAUAAAUAAUAAUUUUCAAAUAAAAAUACAAAUAAAAAGGUGUGCAACCAUCUUUUGGGUGAAGGUUAAGUCACAUACUCACAUAUCAAAAAAGUAAACUCAAAUGUUAGUGCAUUGAAAACAUGUCAACUUAAUAUGCAAUCAAUGAAAAGAACAUUCUGUUAGACCUAAAAUCUAAAAAUCAAUAAUAUUAAUAGUAAAUCAAUUUUUAUAUUAAUAAAAAAGAACAUGGGUUAGAAAAAGUUUGAUUCGGAAUUUUGAGACAUAAAUGUGCUUCCAUAAGAGAAAAUAUGCCACUUCUACAUAGAGUUAAUUGAUCCUCUUCUACCAAAAUAUGAUAAUCUUGUUAUAUAAAUUUGACUUUAAUCAAAUAAGAUCAUUUCACACAAUAGUAGUUUUUUCUAUCAAUAACUUCACACAACUUAUCUAACUUAGAAGAAUCAAGUAAGAGCGACAAAUGUAGGUAUACUAGAAUCUCAUCUUCUUGUAAAAAAUCUCACCUAUUCUUCAUGUUUAGAAAAAGAUAAAGAUACAAAAUUAGUAAAAUAAUAAAAUAAGAAAAUAAAAUGAAUAAUUAUAAAUUUUAAAUUAAAUAUAACACUUUAACCAUUUUUUUUUGGUAUGGAUAAUUUUGUCUACUUCACGCUAAUUUGCUUUCAUUGUGCCUUGUUGCUGGUUUGAUUUUGUAUAAGAGUGAUACUAUCAUUUCAAAUAGAAGUUGAUAAUGAAUAUGCUUAGGGAUGAUAAUGGGUUAAGCUUAGAGGAUAAUCCGCCCCGCCCCGCCCCGCCGUACCCCGCCUCCCCCUUAUUGGAAUGGGUAUGGAAGGCUUUUAUUCAAGUUCGAGAUGGGUUUGGAGAAGCUUUUGAAUACUUGGAUCAGAUAUGGGACGGGUUUGGUUUUACUACGCCCUACCUCACCCUGCCGCGUUUACCAACAUAAUGCGUGCCCUCCACCAUAUACCAUAUUACACAUUCCUUAAAAAGUCAUGUGUAUAAAGUAUCUUUGAAACCUAGUUUUCCACUGCUUCUCUUACUCUUAUUCUGUGAAGCUCCCAAUGACGCUAUCAUGUGUACUGUUGAUGCUGUCCAACGAUGUUACCAUCAAGCUAUUCUUCUGCAUCCCACAAGCUUCGUCACAAAAGAAGACAUCAUCUUCUAGACACACCACUGCAAACCCUAGAUGCACUUCUAGUGUUGAUCUCUGAAGCUCCAUUUUUGAGAAUCGUAGAAAAAAAAUUGAUGGGAUUUGAUUGGUUAACAAGAAAAUUGAAGGGAAAAGAAUUGUAUGUUGGGAUUGUGGGAUGGGUUGUUUUAAUUUUGCAUAUUCCUUUCUGGCUUGUUUUACCAUUUUUCCCAAACUGCACCUGGUCAUUAAAGAGAAUUGUUCAAUACUUCAACUAAAUCUCUCUAUUUUUUUUUUCCAAAUAGAUCUUACAUGUCAAAUGAUAAAAAUACUUUCUUCUUCCACCUCCCAACCCUCCUCAUUCAUCCAAGCAACCCUAUUUCAUCUCUUUUUUAUCCUCUUUUCUUUUCUUUCCUUCAUUUUCUUUAAUCUCCAUCUUUUAUUUCCUUUCAUCUUCUUUCCCAAAGUUGUUAUAACAGUAGUAGUUUUUCAGCUCAGCACACUCCAUGUAUUUUUUUCUCAUUUCCAAAUAAAUAAUUUGUAUAAAAUUAUGUAAUGUAAGUUGUAGAUCUUUUAUAUUUUAAAAAAAUUUCCAAUAAUUUCAAUCUCAAACACUUUAAUAUAAUAAAAUAAUAAAUCAUAUUUUAUAUGCUCAAGAUGAAGUUUAAAUAAAACUUGUUUUAAUUGGUGAGAGUAUGUGUGCAGGCGUGUUGUGCAAGUAUGUGUGCAGGCGUGUUGUGCAAAAACUCCUAUAUAUAUAUAUGUAAGGGAAAUUUGGAACUUUCAAACAUCGCAUUCUCCAUAAAAAUUUCUUACUUUUAUUGAGCAAAAAGGAAAAAAAAAAAUGGUGUGCAUGGCCAUGCUUAAUAUUAAUUUCGUUUUAAUUGUUUCUUUACAUUUUUCUAAUUUUCAUAUUUGUUCACUUCUUAGCACCUUAUCAUGAUUAGAAAAGAAGUAAAAUUAAUGAACAUUUACCAAAACUCUUGCAAUUGUUUACGUCUUAGACUUCAGUAUUGCUCAUCCAUUCUCAGUAGUUAAGAAUGUAAUAGCAAAGGUUAGAACUGACCCUUUCGGUCUACAUGAUGAUAUCUAGGAAACACCAUGACCUGGGAAGAUACAACGCAUCCCAUAUGGUUGUACGGUUACUGCAGUUUUCCUCCAAGACAUGCAGUCUUGAAGGCUACAAUAGUAAGGAAAUCUCAGAGCUUAUUGGAAGCAGAGGGGUGGAAACUUGUGAAGAUAGGCUCCUUAGUAUUCAUAUUUACGGACAAAGUUUCCCAUUCCAAGACAUGCUGAGUGCUGUUUGCUUUUAUCAAUUUGCUAUUGCUUAUCAAAGAUCAAAGACUGUUGUUGCCAUUGUUUCUUUAGUGCAUUACCAUAAACCAUCAAAAACAGGAAGAUGUAUUUUCUUUUCAAAAAUUUAGGCCACCAUCAGCCACAGCAGUCCAAAGCUCCAUCACAUCCUUCCUUGCACGGAACAACAAAAAGCAAGCUCCAUCAUAUCCUUGCUUGCAUGGAACAAUAAGCAACAUUUUCAUAAUUGGUGAUUGAACCAAAAUAGUUGUCAAUUCAAUGAUCGGACUGAUGGUUGAAUUGUGACUAUAGUCAAACUGAUGAUGUUAUAAAUAUAUAAUUUAUGUAUUAUUAAAAUUAAAAAUAAUUAUAUGAAAUUUGAAGAAAUUUAAAAUUUAAAAAUUAUAAAUAAGAUGUGUAAAUAAAAUUAAUGCAAUGAAAGUUUAGAUGGAUGCAUUAACAUUUCCCCAAAACUAAUCUUUAAACUAUUUCCAACUUCUAAUGUGAUGAUAAUUUCUUGUCCUUUAAGAAAAUCUUCUUAAAGGGUUUUUUUCUUAAUUUAAUGAGCAUUGUAUUCUUUUCUUCUACAAACUUUAGUCUUCUUAAUUUAUGGAUGAAUUUCUUGAUGGAUAAUAUUUUUGUGUUUUUUUCCUCGGAGUACAUGAAAUUGAAUCCCCACCCAAGGAAGGUCCGUUCCCAGAAUCCAAGCCUCGAGAAAAACACUCUCUCGCACCACUGGGUUUACUCUAACCCCUUUGGCAAGGCCAAGUCCAUCUAACCCCUUUCUGAUUAGGAUUUCUGUGGCUCAAGGAGGUUGAUUUCCUCCUUAUCUUGAUUGAAUGGCUCCAUGAAUGGUUUGAGACGAUGGCCAUUGACUUUAAAGGUGUCUAUUGUUGGAAUUCAGUAAUUCCACCAUUCCAUUGAGAUGCACUUGGUGAAUAAUGAAAGAGUCUAUCCACCUUGACUUCAGCUUCCCAGGAAAGAUAUGGAGCCUAGAGUCAUAGAGUAAGACUCUUUGUCAUUUCCGGAAUUCUUUGUUGGAGAUUAACUGAUCAUGCCACCUCUUCAUCCUCUGUUUUGCAACUUUGGAAUUGAUGUAGGCAUCAUUUCUUAAUUCCUCCAUCUGAUAAGGUCUAAGCACCUCUUUGCCUUGGCUCUGAUCAAGUCCAUGUUUUUCAAGAAAGUAAUACACAGAGCUUUGCUCUGCCUUAUCUUCUCAUUUUGUUUUCUCGUUAUUUUGAUUUCUAGCAAAUCAAACUCUGAGGAUGUUUUCCUAGAAGAUGAGUGGCUAGGCUUUUUGUUUCUUGGAGUGAAGGAAGCUAGGUAAGGUUCCAGAUGCAAAAUUUGAAGUUUUGUUGUUUCGGUUUUUAAUGAAGAGAAAGUGUGAUCCGUUAAUGGUUUUUAUCUUUUUAGUUAACUUAAAAUCCCUUAAAAUCACUUGGUCCAACACUUGGUAAGGCAAGUGGUCUCCGUCCAUUGAGAUACACUAGUUUAUCUCUUGCAAGCCUCUAAGAGGUGGUUUAAAUGUAGGAUUAUCUAGAAUAGCCAACACUUGGUAAGUUUGUGGACUCCUAGGAGACAUCCAUUAGUUAUCUCUUGUGAGCUUUUGACGGGUAAUCCAAGGUUAAAGAUCACCUUAAAUGACCAAUACUAGGUGAGAGGUAUGAACCAUUGCAAGAUGAUUCAGGGAUUUAGUGUUUGAACCCAUUAAGGGCAAACAUCUGUACCUCACCGGUUUGAGAAAUAACUAUAUGUUAGAUCCCCAAUACGAGGAAAAGAUUCAAGUGACCAGAACUCCCUUUUUGUAUGACGAAUCUGAGCCUAGUGAUAUAAAACUCCAAGAAACACUUUUCUUUGUAAGUAAUUUCCGUUACUUUAUUAUUGGUUUCACUUAAAACCAACAUUUUCAAACAUAUUUAUGUUUUCUUUUAAAGCUAACCUUGAAAAGAAAAAACACUAAUUUAGUUUUUGAACUAAUAUUAGUUGUAAUUUGAAAACCCAUCCCUGUGGACGAUCUUAGAGUCACUAUGCUAUGCUUGCUAAUGCUACCCUAGUAUAUGGUGAAAUAGGUUUAUAAAUUUUGUUGAUCACUCCCGUCUAAGGACAGAAAUCAGAGUACAUCAAUUGAUUGAACACCAAUUUUUUCCACUUUUUCUAAGGAAAAUAUUUUAUUUUUUCCAUUUUUUUUUUAUAUUUCAUGAAUUCUUCUCAUACUAUAUUUAGUUCAUGAAAAACACUAAGGCUAUGCUUAUUUCAUUGUAUUUUUUUUUUCUAUUUUCUUCUCUUAAAAUUCUCCCUUAUGGUUUCUUUAAGAAAUAAACAUAGCCUUAUAAUUUGUUUUCGCUUUUUCUUUUUUUAUGACUAAAAUAGUUUUAAGAUUUCUCAAGAACCAAACAUAACAUCAAGAAAACAUUUUUUCUUUUCCACAUUUUAAUUAUUUUUACCACAUUUUAAAGCAGUAGAAGGUGAAUAGGAUAAAGAGUUAAUAAAAUUUUAUUUUGCCUUUUCUUUUUCUUUUUAUCCUCAUGGAAUUAUUACCUAUACCUCCUAGAUGAAAAAAUAUGGUAAAACUAAAGGACGAUUCUUUUGUUUAUCUUUGUUGUUGAGAUCAUUGCAAAACAUGCAUUCCAAAACUUAUAAGAGUUAAAAAAUAAAAAUAAUUAAAAAUGAAAGGAAAGUUAGAACAUUUUUCCUUGUUUCUAAAUUAAUUGGAUUUAUUGAAUAAUUAAAUGAAUUGGCACUCAUCAUCCUAUUUUUAUUAAGAAGUUUAGAUUAACCCCGAAUCUCUAGGAAUAAAUAAGCUUGAUUUGAUGUAUUUAAUUAAAGGUUGGUUAAGUUUGAUUGAUUUAUCACUUGUAUCAGAUUUCCAUUCAGCUGUUUACCCACCAUUGAGUGAAUGUGAAAAAAAUGGAUUCAUCAAUUGAAUUAAAUUUAAAUGUUCCUCACAUCUGAUUUCAGGAUGAGAUCCAAUUUUGGUUCGAGCUUGUCAUGCCUGAAACUCGUUCUGUGUUUAGGAAGAAGGUAACUAAGAGACGGGAGAGAAAGAAAGAAAGGAAAGAAUACAUUUCUCAAUUACAAAAACAAGGGGAAACCCAUUUGAUAGUUUCUGCGCUUAUAACAACAGUAACUUUUGCUGCGGGUUUCACCUUACCCGGUGGUUACAAAGAGGAUGAUGGCAAGGCAAUUUUAUCAAAGAAAGCAGCCUUUAGAGCAUUUGUUGUGACGGAUACCAUAGCCAUGGUAUCUUCACUAUGCGCCGUAUUUCUUCACUUUUUUAUGACCCUGCACAAACGUGGGAAGUUCCUUGAAAAACACUUACUUUGGGCCUUUAUUUUCACCAGGGUUGGGAUGGGAGCAAUGGCCAUCGCUUUCGCAACUGGCUUGUACGCUGUUUUACCGCAUUCAUCUGGCCUUUCAGUUCUCACUUGCAUCCUCUGCUCUUGCUUUUUCCUCUCCAUUGCAGUUGAAUAUUGUAAAUUUUGGAGAGGUACGAUUUCGGACAUGCUAGGCAAACUAAUCGCUGGAGAAGCUGAAUGGGGGGAAUAAAAAGAAAAGAAAAUGCAGAUGUGUAGAUGAGGGCUCCCAAAUCGAUCUUUGAAUGAGCUAUUUCAUUUUCUGAGAGGAGAGAGAACCGGCUCUGAGCUAACUGAUAUCGGAAGCAAGGAAAGCUGAAAGUCGGGAAUCAAAAUAUGCUCAUUUGAAUGGGAAUUAUAUUUUAAAUCUGGGUGGAGUAUUGAACUCAUUUGUCAAUGGAUACAAUUGUGAAUACCAAUAAUGUUAGUAUUGGAAUUCAACGAGAUUUUUUAUGAAUUGGGGUUGGACUGGGCCGGCCCAACCUGGAAAUAUCUUCCAAAUAGAUGUGGAAGGCAGAGCUGUAUAAGUUUGUAUUGAUGAAUGAUGAUGUCAAUUUUUAAUUUUUUUUUUCUAUUAUUGAUUCACAUCACUAAAAUCAAAUUUGUUAUAAACUGUUUUUGAUAAAUUUAUAUUAAUGAUAUCAUUUUAUUUUUUUUAUAAACUGUUUUUGCCAUUCAAUUAAAAUUAUUUUUUGUAUCAUUUCAUUAUGUAUAAGAUUGGCAGUCAGAAUUUAAUUUCAUGACUCAAUUCUUAUAAAAUUGAUAUUACUAAAGUUAGAAUUGAUUAUUAUCAGCUUAAUUUUAUUUUUAAAAUUGAGAUUAAAAAUAAAAAAUUUGGAUCUUUCUUAAUUCCUUCAAGACUAAUUUUCAUUCUUUUUUUCCCUUUUCUUUUUAAACUUUUCUUUUUCUGAAGAUUAUUUUCUCAAGUGAUGAUUUACUUCACUGCAUUGUCCUCGUUCCAUCAUCAUCAUUUUGGUGGUGGUGAUGGUUGUAAUGGUUGGAAAAUGAAUAGGCAAAUGGUUAUUCAACAAGAAAAUCCUCUCGGAAUUUAGUCUUUGAAUAUGAUUAGUUAUGUCCAAAAGCACAUGUUUGAGAACUAUUUGCUGAAAUUGACAUUUUCAACGAAUCUUGCACUUAAAAGUCCAUGUCAAAUUUCGUCUUACUUUUACAUGUAGUAGAAGUUGUCUCUGAGCCGUUGUAAAAGGAUGCCAAAUUCUUUGAGAAUUGGUUUCUUUAGAUUUCAAUUUCAGGAUUCCGAUCUAGAACUUCUACAUGAUUUUCUCAUAGCAUCCCUCUGAAAAUUGAGGAAAUGGGAAUUAAAAUGUAAGUUUGAACUAAAGAUUUGAGCUAUUCAAGAAUCAAACAUUGAGGCACUUGUUUAACUUUUGUCAGCGGUCAAUAUACUCUGUUUCGUGUCGAAGGAAGAGAUUACAUUUGGAUUUGGGUGCAUUGACAAGUCCCAGACUAUGUAUAUCAAUAUACUUUGGGUUCCAUGGGCCGCCUACAAAAAAGAAAUCAUAGGUUUUGGGAUAGAAUACCAAAGGUAAGUGCCAAAUGAAGUGUUUUUUUUUCCCUUCUUUAUUACAAAGAAGGUCAUGAUUUCUUUCUUAAAACAGGUUUGCAGGAAUGGCAAGGGGAAGGAGGUUGUGUCAGAUAGGGUAUGCAUUUUAGAGGUGCAAGUUAUUGAAGUUUUUGGGAUUUGACUCCUCUUUGUGACACUAUUAUUUCCCUCAGAUUGUUCUUUAGAUGCAUGCAAUGUCAACAGUUUCAAUAUGAAAUUCAUGGCUGAUAAAAGGCCCUCCCUUAUAUCGGCUGUGGAUUUUAAAGCCACAUGACAUGCACUCAUGCUGUGGCACGACCUGUCGAGAUAAUCGAGGCAAGGGAUACUUGAGUACAUUUUAAGAAAAUGGAAUUGUCUUACGCAAUUUGAUCUGUUCCAAAGGAUUUUAUAGGAAGGGAAGCCUGGAGUGGGAUCAAACCAUGGCUUAAAUCCUCUGCUCCCUCUUUCCUACACCAUUUACAAAGACAUUGGUCUGUGGAUGAUGUGGGUCUUGUUCUCUAGAUUGCCCAAAAGCUCAAAAUCCAACUCAAAACAAUUUACAUUAGAAAUCAACACCGGAAUGAGUCUUUUCAUGUUACUCUUUGUUUUAGUCACACACUCAUCUUACAUAGAAAGCUGUCACAACCCUCCCUGCAGAGUUACUCCCAGGUAGCAUUAAUUGCAUGUGGAAAAACCCAACCCACAUCCAAAAGUCUCCAGCGAUGAUUCAAAGGCCCACCCUGUUUACCAUAAAGCAAUUACGGUUAAGACUCUAGAUAUAGAAACCCUUGAUAAGUUUGUUAUGGUGGUAGUAGAAAGAGAAAUAAAGUUGAACGAAAUGAGCAGAGGCAUGGUCGAGAACAAUGUUUUUGAAACUGGAUUAUUUAUUGAAUUGAAAAAAUUACGGGUUUAUGGUUUAGUGGUCAAAUCGGUCAUUGAACCGAGUUUAAACCGGUGAGGUCAUAACUAUAUAAUUUAUAUAUUAAAAAAUAAAUUAAAAAAUUUUAAUGUAAAGAAAUAAAAUAUAAUAAUAUUUAUUUUUCACCUUUGAUAUUAUUAAACUUAAAUCAUGAAUAAAUAUAAAUGUAUUAAUAUUUUAUUUUAUUUAAAUAAAAUAUGUAUAAUCUUUAAAUGUGAAGAAAUAUAUUAAAAUAGAAGAAAAUUCUUUUAUUUAUAUUAUAUUAUUUUCUUAUAUUAAAAAAUUUAAAAUAAUUAUGUUGAUUUAGUUUAUUUUGAAAUUUUAAAUAACAACCAUUAGUAGUAAAGUGGUUAUAGUCCUGACAUGUGAAUUUUAUGGAUUUUUUAAAACUCAUCCCACAUAGGAAGUUGAUAAGGAUGAGAAUGCCUUUAACUGUCCAUUUCAUGAUAUAAUAAGCAUGCAAGAGGGCUCAAGACAGAUCCUUGUCCUGGUCUUAUUAAUUGGGUUGGGCUUCCACCCAAUCUUUUGUUGAGAAGUAAAAAAUGCCAACCUUGAACCAAUGGUUCAAAACUAGUUCAAUGUGUACUUUUGCCCAAAGGCUAUAGAUUGAACCGUGCCAAGCUUUGGUCAAUGGUUGGACCAAUCAAACUAGUUGGUCCAGUCGGAACUUUGUAUAUUUUCUCAAAGGUAGGGCCGCUUUGGGUAUUUGCAAGUAUUGUCUCAUCUAAAACUAAUGGUUAGAAACUCAAUAAAUAACUUGACUCUCUUUUUGUAUAUAUUAUUUUUUGAAAACUAUACUUGCACCUAAAUCAAAAUAUAUCAUCAUCAAUUAUACAAUAUCAUAUAUAUAUAUAUAUAUAUAUAUAUAUAUAUAUAUAUAUAUAUAUAUAUAUAUAUACAUAUUUAAUUGGACUUCUUAUUAUCUUAAUAUCAUAUAUUUAGAGCUCAUUUAAUUGUGUGAUUUAAAAAUAGUUUUUAGUUAUUAAAAAUAAAAAAUUGUUUUUAAUAUCAUUUGACGGUUGUUCUCUGAAAAUGAUUUUUAAAAAUAAAAUGAAAUAAAGAACAAUUUUUAGGAAACAAAUAAAGUUAUUUUCAUAAAUUUUAAAAAAUAAAAAUAAAAUAUGAGUUCGUUUAAUCAUGUUUUUUAAAAUUUGUUUUUAAGUUAAAGAAUAAAAAUAGUUUUUAAAAACAAAUUUAAAAAACAUGGUAAAAAAAGACUGUUAUACUCUCAUUCAAAUGAUCAAGAUUUUGACUUCAGUUUCAUAUGUUGGUAUAUUAAAAAAUUUCUAUAUUAAACAAUUUGGAUAUGAAUCAUAUGAUACUAUAAGUUGGUGCCAUGAAUGUUUCCUGAAAAACAAGAAAGGAAGAAGGGGGGAAGCCCGGAAAGGUGCGGUGGUGGGUGUGAUGAGAAAAGCGAUGAUAUGAUAUAAUUUUUUGUAUUGCAUCAAAGUUUUCAAUAAAGUUUUAAGCAACCAUGAGAGUUGUUCAUCAUGUACCUAACACUUUGGACGGACGAGAUGAUGGCACCUUUUUGACUUCUAUUUCAUGUCACGUGCCUCGAAUAAUGUUAAAAAGCAAAAAAAUUAAAUAUAUACAUAUUUUAUAUUAUUCCAUAAAGUUGUGUUGAAAAUAUCAAUAUAUGUUAUUUAAAUUAUUCCUUAUUUUAUAUUUUUCUAAAACUCAAUAAAUAAUUUUUUGUAAUGGUAUUUCUCAAAAAGUUUAAACUCCUUAAUUUCAAAUAUUAUUUUUCUAACCAUAAAUCAUCUUUGAAAUAAAUAUUUUAAAAAUGAUAGUUUGAUUUAUCAUUUAAAUGUAAGUGUUUUAUAUAAAUUAUUUUAAAUUAACAUAAAAACUUUUUAGUUAUUAUUUGUUAAAAUUUUCGUAUUCUUUCAAAAGAGUAAAAAGUUCAUGUUAUUAAUUGUAAUUUUUUUUUUUCCUAUUAUUGUGCUUUUUAUAUAAUAAUUUUUUAAAAUUGCAUGAAUAAAAAAAUAUUUAAAUAUAAAAUCUUAUAAAAUAAAAAUAAAAAUUUAUUAAACAACAAAUAUGAAUUUUUUUGCUUUUAUAUUCUUUAUUAUUUAAAGUUUGUUUAUAUAGUUAUUGCACCAACAUUGGCUGACCAUGGAUUGAGCAAAACAUUUCCAAUAACCACUCAAUUAAUAUAAAGGAAAAAGAAAUCUAAAGAAGAGAUAAGAGAAAAGACUGGAGCACAUCCUCUCCACCACAAAGCUAAUAAGCAUCUUAUUCAAACAUAAGUUUGUCUUAUCAUAUCCGACGUCAUCAUCCAACCAAGGAAAUACAUUAUUAUUAUUAUUUUUUUAUUAAAAAAAAUAGAAAUUAAAGAAGAGACAUAAGGAAAUCACAUUCUUUAAUAUUAUAUUAUUAUUUCUUUAAUAUUUUUUAGAAAUGAAAUAUAUUCUUAUUAUUUGAAAAAUGAAUUCAAUUGAGUCUAAAUUCUUAAAUUUAUAAAGAAAAAUAGUAUGAUAUUGGAUAGGUAUUAUAUCAAGCUAAAAAUUUGGAUUCUUAAAACAUAUGAUUAAGUUUGAACUUUUGAAUAAGGUGGCCAACAAAAAAAUCAUAUAUAAUAUUAAAAAAAAAUUGAAAUGAAACUACAAAACAAUUUAAUCAUGAUUAUUAUUUUUGUUUAUCAAUGUGAUGAUUACCAUUUUUUGAUGUGACGUGAAAUUUCAAUGGGAGAAUUAUGUUUUGACGGGCCAAUUUGGGAAUAAUAACAUUUUCGGAACCGAACUUUCCAUAAUGCAAGAUAUGUCCACUGUUUGGAAAAAUAUUAAAGGAAACAUGCAUUCUGGCCUGAGGUGUUAUUUCAUACCGAAAAUACCCCUCCAUUGUUCAUCGUCCCUGUGAAAGGUCCCGAUAUUUCCUACCAGCCCACGCAAGAUGCAAAAUCUGUCCGAUAUUUUUUUUUUUUUUUAAAAAAAAAUUUGCAGGCAAAGGUUGGAUUUUUCAGCAUGGCUCAAAAAUCGUGGAUUUAGGGUUUGUGAAAUUUAAAUCCAAUGGCCCAAAAUCAAAGAGACCCCUAGAUCAGAUCAAGAAAACACAUGGAGGAAAAAAAAAGCACUUUUUUUUUUGUUUUUCUUGGGGAUUUUGCAUGGAUUUUGUCGGAAAUCAAACGAGGAUGGAUUUUCUCGGAAAUCAAACGAGGAUGAACUUUCCCGGAAAUCGAAUGGGGGAUGGAUUUUCUUGGGAAUCAAACGGGGGUUGCAAAAAAAAAAAAUAAUAACUUAGAUUAGAUUAGUACCUGCGAGGAUUGAGAAUGGCAGAGGAAAAAAUAGGGCUUUUUUUAGGGAUUCUCUCGUCUGGAGGCCAACUUCAGAGAAGGGCCUCGGAAAUCAAACGAGGAUGGAUUUUCCCGAAAAUCGAAUGGGGGUGGAUCUUGGGAAUCAAACGGGGGUUGCAAAAAAAAUAAAUAAUAACUUAUUAGAUUGGUACCUGCGAGGAUUGAGAAUGGCAGAGGAAAAAAUAGGGCUUUUUUAGGGAUUCUCUCGUCUGGAGGCCAACUUCAGAAAAGGGCCUCGGAAAUCAAACGAGGAUGGAUUUUCCCGGAAAUCGAAUGGGGGUGGAUUUUCUUGGGAAUCAAACGGGGGUUGCAAAAAUAAUAAUAAUAACUUGAUUAGAUUAGUAUCUGCGAGGAUUGAGAAUGGCAGAGGAAAAAAUAGGGCUUUUUUAGGGAUUCUCUCGUCUGGAGGCCAACUUCAGAAAAGGGCUCCUUGAUGCCCGAGUGAGAGACGGUGUCGUGAGAGACGGUGGCUGCUGACAGGACAACUAAAGGGCAAUUUUGGAAUAGCAUUUUAAAACAGUAGAUAGUGCAUGUUUCCUUUAAUAUUUUUCCAAACAGUGGACAUAUCUUGGAUUAUGGAAAGUUGGGUUUCGAAAAUGUUAUUAUUCCCAAAUUGGCCCAUCAAAAUAUAAUUCUCCCAAUUUCAAUCCUUGCUCUCCACCACACAAGUUCACGGUAGAGGGGACCACCUUCUAAGCUAUACCUAAGAGGCACUUUAUUUAAUGGCAAAUCUAAUGAAUAAAAUUUUAGAUCAUCUCCGGAAGACUUUUGUUAUUUUUUAACUUCUAUCUUCCUUGCAGUUGUAGAAAACACAUCUUCUUUGGAUUAUCAUCUGGUAUCAUAGUCAAGUUGAUCAGAUGGUUAUCUCAAUCCAACCUACCGUCCCACUUUUUCAAGGAAAUGGAUAUGAUAGUUGGAGCAUAAAGAUGAGGACUCUUUUUAUCUCCGAAGAUCUGUGGGAGCUUGUGGAUAAGGGUUAUGCAGAAGAGGAAAUUCCAAGAGAUGCUAUGAGAGAUGUACGAAAGAAUGAUGCCAAGGCAUUGUUUUUUAUUCAACAAGCAAUCACAGACAGCAUUUUUCCUCAAAUUUCAAAGGCAACGAAGUCUAAGGAAGCAUGGGACACUUUGCAAACAAAAUAUCAAAGCACAAGCCUGGUAUUAGUUACAAUGUAUUGAAUUUUUAGAUUCAGUCAAAUAAAGUAAAAUAUCUAUGUUUCCAACUAAUUCGUAAGAUUAGAAUGUGUUGUUCUAAGAAGGGUUCUGACUACAGCUUUAAAUUAAUGGGUUGUUGGAUAAUUUAUUUAGGAGUUUAUUUGAGUUUGGUUGCUUAUUUAACGGCAAGUGUUCAACUCAAUUAGAUUUCUUAUCUUUCAUCUUGAACUUUUUUUAAGUGCUUUAUUAUUUUUUAACUUCUCUAUGGUAGGAAGGCAUCUUUUUCUUAUUAUUGUAAAUGAUAUAAUGACAUAAUAGAUCAUAUAUCAGAUCACUUCACUUUAGUUGAAUUCACUUUUAUUUGGGAGGAUUGAAAGACCAAAUGAAUACUUAGGUUAUAUUUGGUUCCCAAAAGUAGGAAGAAAACAAUAAAAUAAAAUAAAAUGAAAUAUUAAACAAAAUUAUUUUUUCAUGUAUGGUUUUAUUAAGAAAAAAUUAAACAUAAUUAAAUUAAUUAAAAAAUUAUUUAUUUUUAAAUUAUUUAACCUUUAUACAAAAUAGUUGAAAUAACUUAAACGAGUUUGAAGCAAUGUAGAAAUAUAAUUAAUUAAUUUUCAAAGUAUUUUUUAUUUUCAAUUGUUUCUUCUACUCUUCUUCUUUUCUUUACAUUUUCCCUCAAAUUUCUUGGGUGCUUAUAACAACAGUGCAGAAUUGCUGAAUUAACUCGGGUUUUGAUUUGAAUUAGGUUGCAGCUCAAGAUGGAGAUGGCAGCCAAACUGACAUCCCAGUCAUGGAUGACUCUGUGUAUAAGGCAGCAGCGAAGGGCGACAUUGAAGUUCUGAAGAAAAUUCCAGAGUCCCAAUUUCAUGCCCAAUUAACCCCAAAGCAUAACACGAUACUCCACAUCGCAAGUGAAUUCGGUCAAACAGAGUGUGUGAAAUGGAUCCUUACGUUGCCUGCAUGUUCAUCUCUACUGCAAUGCCCUAAUCUGAACGGGGACACUGUGCUUCACCUUGCAGCAAGGGAAGGGCAUUUGAAGGUCGUGGAAGCUCUUCUAGAACCUACCCUAGAUAUUGAAACUGGAGUUGGAGAAGAUAAGGAGAUGUUGAUCGGGAUGACAAAUAAGGGGAAAAACACAGCCUUGCAUGAGGCAGUGCGAUUUAACCAUUCUGAUGUGGUGGAGUCAUUGAUUGAGAAGGACCCCAGGUUUAACUAUCGUGCUAAUGAUUCAGGUACGACUCCUCUUUACAUGGCUGCGGAGAGAGGACUUACAGGCUUGGUGGUACUAAUCAUAGACAAAAGUAGUACUUCACCCUCUUACCAUGGCUUAAUGGGUAGAACGGCCUUGCACGCUGCUGUAUUAUGCAAUAAUGAAGGUAGUAGACUCACAAUACUAAUGAUUAUGUUAUUUUCAUAUAUGUAGAUUAAAAGGGAACAUGCAUGCCUUCAUUUGUUUUGUUCAUUUGCUUAAUUUUCUUAAACUAUUUUCCUUUAUCUAUUAAUCAGCAAUGACAAAUAAGAUACUUGAAUGGAAGCCAGACCUCACCAAAGAAGUAGAUAAGAAUGGGUGGUCUCCACUUCACUAUGCUGCAGAGAGAGGUUGUGAUCUGAAAAUAGUGGAGCUAUUGCUAAGUAAGUCAGAAAAGAGUGUAGCCUACCUUAGGAGCAAAGAUGGGAAGAAGACUGCCCUUCAUAUUGCAUCUUUCCACCAUCAUACAAAAAUAGUAGAGGAGAUCCUAUCUCACUCUCCUGGUUGUCGGGAGCAGGUCGAUGACAAGGGCAAUAAUAUUUUUCACUUUGCCAUGAUGAAAAAGGGUGACCGGUACGAUGAUUUUAAGCCUAGUAAUUACUUCGACAAUAAAUGGUUAGGGUCAAGAGGACCUGUAAAUGGGCCAGGAGGAUUUGUAAAUGGGCCAAGAGGACUUGUAAAUGAGAAAAAUGCUCAAGGAAACACACCCAUCCAUCUGCUCUCUCUUAAUCAAAUUUCAGAUUCUUGGUUUGUAUGGAAUGAAAAAGUGGAUAAGAAGGCGUACAACAAUGAAGACUUGACAGGUUAUGACAUAAUUUUGAGGGCGGACAUUUCCGAGAAAAAGGUAAGGCUCGCACAUAACUUCAAUUAUAUGUUUAUUGGCAAAUGCUUACCACGUUUCUCAUUUCUUUGAGCUGUGUUAUGUUUUGUUAUUUUUGCUAUGUUUGGAUUCCUUCAACCUAAGCAUUAGCUAGUUUUUUAUUUAUUUUUUUUGUCUCCAAAGUUUCAAGAUGGGAUAAUAGAGAAAAGGAAAAGAAAGAAAUAGAGGAAAAAAAAUUACAAAAUGUUUAUUGCUUUUCAUUGUUUAUUGAGAAAUUAAGCAAAAGAAAUUUAAAUUUAAGAGGAAUGUACUUAGCAUAAACCUUUUUUUCUUAAAAAAAAAAAGGAAAUGGGAAGAAAAAUUGUUAGUGUCUUUUAUUUAGUAAUUUUUUUCUUAUCAUUUUUUCACUUGUAUCCAAAUGUUGAAAAAUAAAAAAAUAAAAGAAAACCAUUUUUAUUAAAAAAAAAUUUCCGUUACUUUCCAAAAUCAAAUGUAGUUUAAGAUUAAUUUGAGGAAAAUAAAAGAAAAAAAAGAAGAAAAUAAAAAGAAAACAACAAUUUAUAAAAUUUUCUUUCAUUUUAUUGUUCAUAAAAAAGUCGGGAAAAAAAUUAAAUUGUUGAGAAAUGCAGUCUUUCCAAGCUUUUUCCACUUUUUCUAAGGAAAAUAUUUUAUUUUUUCUAUAUAUAUAUUUUACAUUUUCAUGAAUUUCAAACUAUAUUUGGUUCAUGAAAAACAUUAGGGCAAUGUUUAUUUCAUUGAUUUUUGUCUUUUUUUUUUUAAUUUUCUUCUCUUAACAUUUUUCCUUAUGGUUUCUUUUAGAAAUAAACAUAGCCUUAUCAUUUGUUUUCACUUUUUCUUUUUUAUGACUAAAAUAGUUUUAAGGUUUCUCAUGAACCAAACAUAACAUCAAGAAAACAUUUUUUUCUUUUCCACAUUUUAAUUAUUUUUAUCACAUUUUAAAGCAGUAGAAGGUGAGUAGGAUGAAGAGUUAAUAAAAAAUGGAUUCAUCAGUUGAAUUAAAUUUAAAUGUUAUUCACAUCUGAUUUCAGGAAAAUAUCCAAGUUGCCUUCGAGUAUGUUAUGACUGAAAGUCGUUCUUCGGUUACGGAGAAGGAAACUAAGAGACGGGAGAGAAAGAAAGAAAGGAAAGAAUACAUCUCUCAAUUACAAAAACAAGGGGAAACCCAUUUGAUAGUUUCUGCGCUUAUAACAACAGUAACUUUUGCUGCGGGUUUCACCUUGCCCGGUGGUUACAAAGAGGAUGAUGGCCAGGCAAUUUUAUCAAAGAAAGCAGCCUUCAGAGCAUUUGUUGUGACGGAUACCAUAGCCAUGGUAUCUUCACUAUGCGCCGUAUUGCUUCACUUUUUUAUGACCAUGCGCCAACGUGGGGAGUACCUUGAAAAACACUUACUUUGGGCCUUUAGUUUGACCAUGGUUGGGAUGGGAGCAAUGGCCAUCGCUUUCGCAACCGGCUCGUACGCUGUUUUACCGCAUUCCUCGGGCCUUUCAUUUCUCACUUGCAUCAUCUGCUCUUGCUUUUUCCUCUCCAUUGCAGUUGAAUAUUGUUUAUUUUGGAGAGGUACGAUUUCGGAAUUCACAAUCAAAAUAAUCCACAAAAUCCUCCUUGCUUCUGAAAGAAAAGAAAAUGCAGAUGCGUAGAUGAGGGCUCCCGAAUCGAUCCUAGUCUUUAUAAUCCACUAUUUCUUGGGUUGGAUCAAAAGACUUUUUCGGGCUAAGCAAUAUAUCAGAUUAGUCAAUGGAUACAAUUGUGAAUAUGAAUAAUGUUAGUGUUUAUUGUAAAUUUGGAUGCAAUUGAUCAUUGAGAUUAAUAUAAUCAAAACUAGUUUUACAAACGAUUUUUGAUAAAUUUAUAUUAAUGAAAUCAUUUUUUUUUAUAAACUGUUUUUGUCAUUGAAUUAAAAUUAUUUUUGUAUAAAUUAUAUUUGAUGCAUUCAUUUUUUUAUCCAUGGAUAUCAUUGUAUAAGAUUGGCAGUCAGAAUUUAAUUUCAUGAAUCAAUUCUUAUAAAAUUGAUACUACUAAAGUUAGAAUUGAUUAUUAUUUUUAAAAUUGGGAUUAAAGAAUUAGAACUUUAUUGUAUAAAUUAUUUUUUAUAAAAUUUGAAGUGUUGUCUUGGAUCAUAACAAAAGACUUUUUUGGGUUUACUGGGUGACUAACACUUGAAUUGAGAUUACUAGGGAUUUGAAAGAUUUGAAACAUGAACCUCAUGAUGGAAAAGUAAGAGAUAAGCCAGUAAGCCACUGCGCAAUAUAUCACAUUAGUAAAUAUUUCUGUAUAAUCCUAUAAUGGUGUUUUUCCAACCUUUAUUUUUAUAAUAAUAGGUAUGAAAUAAUAUAAAUUGAUUUUAAAAUUUUAAAAUAAUAAAAUAUAUGGAUAUAUAGUUAAAAUUAAAUAUUAUAAUUUUCUUUUUAUCUUAAAUAUCUUCAAACGUAAAUAUUAUACAUAUUAUAUUUAAUAAAAUUUAAAACAUUAAUAUAUUUAUACUUAUUUUUAUGAUUCAAUUUAACAUAUUAAAUAUAAAAAUAAAAUAUUAUUAAAUUUUUAAUUGUUUAUUUUAAAUUUUAUAUAAUAUAUAAAUUAUAUAUUUAUGAUAUAACAGAUUUGAUCAUUUGUCAAUCAUGGAUUUGACUAUUGAAUUAUGACUUAGUGUCUUUUCCAAUUUAAUAGCCAAUUCCAUUCUAAAGCCAUUGUUAACAUUUUUUUACGAGACAAUUGUGAGUUCAAAAAUUAAUUUUUGGUUCAUAUAAGUUGUAUAAUUAAUAGAGAUAAUAUAAAAUAUGAAGAGAUCAAUAUACCUUUCAAAACUAUUUUCUACCAUAAUGUUUGAUAAACCUUUUUGUCUUAAUUUUCUUUUAAUAAUUAUUAUGAAAAUUUAUUAUUUUUAGAAAACUGAUUUUUUUAAAAGAAUAUAUUCUAAAAAUAUAUCAUUUAAAAAAAAUAAAUUUAAUCUUAUUUUCUCUUAAAAGAAAAAAAGAUAUAAUUUUACCUACUAACAAAAUUAUUUAAUAAAUAUAAUGUUUUAAAAUAAAAUAUAUUUAAAUACAAUCAUGAGGUAGAUGAAAAUUAUUUUUUCAUAUUUUUAUAAUUUUUAGCAAAUAAUUAAAUUUAAAUAUAAAAUCCGCUAUUAGCUAACACGUGCCUCGUACAUUGAUGAAACGUAUUUAUAAGUCAAAUAAGCAGGAACCAUGAAGCUUUGAAAAAUGAAAUAGAAAUAUACUAUUUUUCAAUUACAGUCUUCAGUCACAAUUAGAACAAACCACUACUCUUCAGUCACCACCGAGCUGAGAUGUUCCUUCCGCAGGUAGUUGCAUCCUGAUAUGUCUCUCCCCAUGGAUUCCUACCCCAAGAAACACUUCCUUAAUGAUAUUCAGUUCCAUCACCACGUCUUUGAUGUCCAUUCGAUCACCAGGUGAUUCUUCAGAACGUGCUACUCCAAUUCUCGCAAUUGAGGCAAGGCAAUGCUGCAUUCUACCUUCCACAUCACCGUGAUUUGCUAUAUUGUUGAUUGCUUCACCUGACUCCCCAACCAAGUUUGAAUCGGCAAUCUCCAUCACCCGUUCUGGCAAUGCCAUCUUCGAGAAACUGUGAAGGCUCAAACCAUCCGGAAACAUGUGUUCUGUUGGUCUCUUUCCCGUGAACAUCUCCAGGAAAAGGAUGCCAUAGCUGUACACAUCUCCUUGAGGCCACAUGGAGCCACCUAGUCCAUAUUCUGCCAUGCAUAUAUUCAUCUUUUUUUACUUAAAAGUCCAUUGAAAAGUAAGGCUAAUAGGCCGAGUGUAGCUAUGCUAUCCUGCGUGCCAAUUUAAACCAACAAUUUCACAACUUAUUUUUAGGAUUGAGGAAAAAAGACUUAAGGAAGUGUACCUGGAGCGACAUAACCGAUGGAUCCCAUCAUCAGUGUCGAACUGGUUUGAUCACUACUCAGCAUGUCGUCAGCUUCAGGAAAGAGCUUGGCUAACCCGAAGUCCCCGACAUGGGCAAUCAUGUCAUCAUCAAGAAGAACAUUGCUUGGCUUUAGAUCACCAUGAACAAUUGGUGUCUGCAAUUGGUGAUGAAGAUAAUCCAGAGCAUUAGCCACAUCAAUUGCAAUAUCUAAUCUUUGUCUGAAGCUUAAAUUUCUGGAUUCGUGAUGCAGCCAGCUAUCUAGGUUCCCAUUAGGCAUGAACUCAAAUACUAGAGCACUAAAAUCACUACCUCUGUUUGUCCACACUUGUAUAUGAAGUUAUGAUCCUGAGGAGAUUUCGAUGUUGAAUUUGCCCGGAGGACCUUGCACUCAGCCAUGAAACUCUUGGAAGCUCCAUGCUAUUGAAGGUUCAGUACCUUCACUGCAACCGGUCUUUAGCCUUGACUAGGAAUUCCUUUGUAUACAGAACCAAAACUUCCCAUGCCAAUCAAAGUUGGAGGAAGCAAAUGCACCAGUUGCUUUGAGUUGUAAGAAACCCUCAAGUACCCAUAUCCCAAAGAAGUGGAAGAGGACUUCAUUAUUGUCUUUUUUCUCCUAUAAAGGAGAACUGAAGCCACAAUGAAAGCCAAGCAAGAAACACCAGCAAUGCUUAUAGCUACAAUAAUUUUGAUUGAAGGAUGCUUGCCCUUGGCAUACUUUGCUGACUCUACAACAGAGCAUGGUGGCAGAUGCAGUUGAGGGAUUUCCCCACAAAGCUUCUUGUUCCCAGUGAUUGAAAUCCCAUUCACAUUUUUAAAAACUCCUCCACUUGGAACUACUUCACCUUCAAGGUAGUUAAAAGACAGAUUUAAAGUCAGCAAAGCAGAAAGAUGUUGUAGUUCUUUGGGAAUCGUUCCAGACAAGUUGUUGCAUGAAAGAUCUAGGAAUUGAAUUCCUCGCAAAGAGCUAAAGGACGGGUAUUUUUCCCUGGAAAGAGUUUCUUGCCAUGUCGAGGUACUCUAAUACUGAACAGCUGCCAAGUUCCCUGGGAAUUUCCCCUGACAAAUGUGUUAUCAGAAACAAGUAACUCAUUUAGGUUUUUCAGUUGACCAACAUCUGCUGGAAGAGAACCAGUGAAUGAGUUUUGUUGAAGGUAGAGUGAUCUCAACCGAUUGAAAUGACCAAUGACAUUUUCAGGUACACUACCACUCAACUUAUUGUGACUGAGGUCCAGAGUUUCCAUAUUGUGGCAGUUCCUGAGAGAUGUAGGAAUGUUCCCAUCCAAAUUGUUGUAGCUCAUGUUAAGGUGGAACAGUUGACUUAAGUUGCCGAGGGUGGACAGUAGCAGACCUGAUAGCCUGUUCUAACCGAAGUCCAAUUCUCCUAAGUUCUGAAGCUUGCCAGUUGAUGUGGGAAUGAUACCAGUGAGAUAAUUCCGAGUUGCAAUGAAUUGAAUCAAGUUGAUGAGGUUUCCAAUCUCUUUUGGGAUGUUUCCAGAUAUUUUGUUUUCUCCUAGGACGAGUUGCUGCAGUUGGGUUGAGAGAUUGACAAUGGAGUUGGGUAACACACCCCCAAAAUGAUUGCCUUCUGGAUUGAUUAACCUUAAACCGCUGAUGUUGGUGAGAGAAUUUAGAAAAUUUAAAUCGCCAGACAUUCCCCUUCCUAAACUAUUGAAGUCAAGGGUCAACCAAUACAGAUCCUUGAGCACUCCCAAACUAUCAGGGACUUUCCCAGUUAGAUGAUUGUCACCUAGAUCCAAAAGUUCAAGUCCUGAAAUAUUGGAUAGUGUAUCUGGAAUUAUUCCGGUAAACUGAUUCAUUGCUAUGCCAAACUUGCAGAGUUGAGGAGAACUGAGCCUCAUGUUUGACAUGAAAUUUCCAGACAGAUGGUUGUCAGUUGCUACAAAUUCAAUGACAGAUGACAAAUUAUGGAGGGAGGGAGGAAUCACACCAGACAAGUUAUUUGUACCUAGAUAUAAAUAUCUCGUGCUCUUCAAACGACCUAAUUCAUGUGGAAUAUUUCCCUCCAAAUGUACGCAAUGGACAGCCAAGAUGAAGGGUUUCCCAAAGUAAAUGGAAUAACCCCUCUUAGAUAGUUGGCACCAAGCCAUAGAUGUAGGAGUUUCGACAUAUGGCCAACGUGCAAGGGAAUCUGCCCUGUCAGAUUGUUCCUUGUGAAAUUCACAGUUCUGAAGCUUGAGCAGUUUGUCAGUUCAAUCGGAAUCUCACCUUGGAUAAAGUUCAUGCUCAGAUUGAGAUGUUGCAUCCGUGGCAAAUGGCCAAUAUCACUGGGAUGGUACCGUGCAAGUUAUUGUUGGACAAUUCCAACUCUCUGAGAAAUGUUAAGUUUUCAAUAGGAGGCAAGGAACCAGCUAAUCUCUGACUCUCCAACCUCAAGGCUGUGACCCUCUGAAGUUGGUGACUGCAUGUAACCCCCUCCCACUGGCAGAAGUGCAGAGAGUCAAUACAGGAGCUCAGAUUAAUAAUUGUUUAUGAUUAAGCUAUCUAUACAUAUUCAAUUUAUAUUUAUUAAAUAUGGGUCACCUUGUGUGUAGAGCCCAAGUCACAUGUGUCUUACAUGAUGGGCCUAAAACACAUGUGGCCCAACAACCAAUGGGUAUGGUCCCUAAGACAUAGUGGAAAUUAAUAAAAGGGAAAAUGAAACUGAAGUUUGGUGUCUUAAGUUUUCUUUUCUGAAAAUACAAAACAUUCCCUCUCCUGUCUCCUAUCACAAGAGAAAAAAUAGAAAGGUGGUUUCCUCCUCUAUUUCCAUAGAAAAAUCAUAUUUCUUCAAGAUCGAUAAUGGAUUCAGGUUUGUCUACACUCUCUAAUCUAAUCGGCAUGUUUUCUUUAUGAUUUAACAUGAGAUUUCUACAUUGGGUUGAUAAUGACGUUUACAACAUUGGUUUCUUUAGAUUUCAAUUUAAGGGAUUCAGAUCUAGAACUUCUACAUGAUAUUCUCAUAGCAUCCCUUUGAAAAUGGAGGAAAUGGGAAUUAAAAUGGGCAAAAGUGAUUAAAAUGUAAGUUUGAACUAGAGAUUCAAGCUAUUCAAGAAUCAAACAUUGAGGCACUUGUUUAACUUCUGUCAGUGGUCAAGGAUUGCCAACAUUGUAGUGCAACAGUCAUUAACAAAAGUGGCUUUGACUUGGUAAUUUGUAAGGAUAAUUUGUCUUAUAUAUCUAACGUGUCUAAGGUGUUUUCAGUUUUUUUUUUCCUUUCAUUUUUAAUGGAUUUAUUAUUUCAUUUUAUUUUAUUUUGUGUUUUGUUUUGUUUCUUCACAGUCUAAUAUAUUUUCUUUGCACAUGGGCUACAUCUCAUUCGGUAUUGUUUUAUAAAUUUCUUAUUACCUCUAAAAAUGUAUUUGCAAAUGUAUCCUAAAAUGUUAUUUUUAUUGUUGCUUCUAUAUUUUCAAUUUUGAUUAUUCACUGGGAAUUUAUACAUUGAUGAUGUUUAAUGCUAACCAAGUUAACUUUCCAACAAUAUAAUAAGUUAGGGCAUCAAACUGAGAAAUGAAGGGGUUUCUCUUACUACAGGCAUUCUGGAGGAAUUCUAUUAUCAAGCUGCCUUUAUCAAUGCAGUAGUCAUAGGUCACAAGUUUUCUUUUUACAACUUGAUAUUGUUUUUCUUUGUUAGGUCAGCCUCCAGUACUGCUCUGUGUUUCAUCAAAACUUAGGGAAGUAGUAUAUAUAUAUAUAUAUAUAUAUAUAUAUAUAUAUAUAUAUUGGAGUGAUGAGCAGGGUAGCUGAUGAUGCCAAAAAACUUGGAUAAGGAGCUCUGAAUGGUGAAUUAGUCCAGUUCAAUUUAGGUAGGACCACCAUCAUCACCCGACUAGACCCAUCCCAUAUACUUGCCAUUAUUGAGCUUGGAUGUGUGGGGCUAGCCCACUCCUAUAUGCGAUUAGUUCUUGAAAACUUGGAUAGGAAUGCCAUCAACAGAAAACCUAUAAAGUCAGCAAAAAUUAGAGAUGAAACAAGUUAAAUUUCGUAAACUGAAAAAUGUGGGAACCUAUUAAAGGGUUGCAAAUGCAAUUUGUUUUGGUCGGUAGGUUUUUGAGAUUAGUAGAGAAAAUAAUAUGUUGUGAUAAUAGUUAGUCCAUCAUUAUAUACGACCAAUAGUAUCAGUGAAAGACACACAAGAGCUUCAACUAGAAUGCAUGUUAUAUGUAAUAAACUGUAUAGAACUCUCAAACCCAGUGGUACUUAAGCUCCUAGCAUCUGUUUCGACUGGGAAUCUGCAAUAAAAACCUUCUACCAAAUCACUGUUUCGUGUUGAAGGAAGAGAUUACAUUUGGAUUUGGGAGCAUUGACAAGCCCCAGACUACGUGUAUAUCAAUAUACUCUGGGUUUCAUGGGCCUACAAACAAGAAAUCAUAGGUUUUGGAAUAGAAUACCAAAGGUAAGUUCCAGAUGAAGUGUUCUAGUGUUCUUUGUUGUUAUCAUUAUUAGCCUUCUUUUCUUUCUUUCUGUUUUUUGUUUUUUCCUUCUUUAUUACGAAGAAGGUCAUGAUUUCUUUCUUGAAACAAGUUUGCAGGAAUGACAAGGGGAAGGAGGUUGUGUCAGAUAGGGUAUGCAUUUUAGAGGUGCAAAUUAUUGAAGUUUUUGGGAUUUGACUCAUCUUUGUAACAUUAUUAUUUCCCUUAGAUUGUUCUUUAGAUGCAUGCAAUGUCAACAGUUUAAAUAUGAAAUUCAUGGCUGAUAAAAGGCCCUCCCUUAUACCGGCUGUGGAUUUUAAAACCAUCUCUCACAUGACAUGCACUCAUGCUAUGGCACGACCUGUUGAGAUAAUCGAGGGAAGGGAUACUUUAAUACAUUUUAAGAAAAUGGUUGUCUUACUUAAUUUGAUAUGUUCCAAAGGAUUUUAUAGGAAGGGAAGCCUGGAGUGGGAUCAAACCAUGGCUUAAAUCCUCUGCUCCCUCUUUCCUACACCAUUUACAAAGACAUUGGUCUGUGGAUGAUGUGGGUCUUGUUCUCUAGAUUGCCCAAAAGCUCAAAAUCCAAGUCAAAACAAUUUACAUUAGAAAUCAACACCGGAAUGAGUUUCUUCAUGUUGCUCUUUGUUUUAGUCACACACUCAUCUUACAUAGAAAGCUGUCACAACCCUCCCUAAAGAGUUACUCCCAAGUAGCAUCAAAUGCAUGUGGAAGAACCCAACCCACAUCCAAAAGUCUCCAGUGAUGAUUCAAAGGCCCGCCCUGUUUACCAUAAAGUAAUUACGAUUAAGACUCUAGAUAUAGAAACCCUUGAUAAGUUUGUUAUGAUGGCAGUAGAAAGAGAAAUAAAGUUGAACGAAAUGAGCAGAGGCAUGGUCGAGAACAAUGUUUUUGGAACUGGAUCAUUUAUUGAAUUGAAAAAAUUACGGGUUUAUGGUUUAAUGGUCAAACCGGUCAUUGAACCGAGUUUAAAUCGGUGAGGUCAUAAAUAUAUAAUUUAUAUAUUAAAAAAUAAAUUAAAAAUUUUUAAUAUAAAGAAAUUAAAAAAUAAUAAUAUUUAUUUUUCAUCUUUGAUAUUAUUAAACUUAAAUCAUGAAUAAAUAUAAAUGUAUUAAUAUUUUAAUUUUUUAAAAUAAAAUAUGUAUAAUCUUUAAAUGUGAAGAAAUAUAUUAAAAUAGAAGAAAAUUCUUUUAUUUAUAUUAUAUUAUUUUCUUAUAUUAAAAAAAAUUAAAUAAUUAUGUUGAUUUAGUUUAUUUUGAAAUUUUAAAGAACAACCAUUAGUAGUAAAGUGGUCAUAGUCCUGACAUGUGAAUUUUAUGGAUUUUUUAAAACUCAUCCCACAUAGGAAGUUGAUAAGGAGAAUGCCUUUAACUGUCCAUUUCAUGAUAUAAUAAGCAUGCAAGAGGGCUCAAGACAGAGCCUUGUCCUGGUAAAAAAGGUCAACCUAGAACCAAUGGUUCAAAACUAGUUCAAUGUGUACUUCAGCCCAAAGGCUAUGGACUGAACCGAACCAAGCUUUGGUCAAUGGUUGGACCAAUCAGACUAGUUGGUCCAGUCGGAACUUUGUAUAUUUUCUCAAAGGUAGGGCCGCUUUGGGUAUUUGCAAGUAUUGUCUCAUCUAAAACUAAUGGUUAGAAACUCAAUAAAUAACUUGACUCUCUUUUUGUAUAUAUUAUUUUUUGAAAACUAUACUUGCACCUAAAUCAAAAUAUAUCAUCAUCAAUUAUACAAUAUCAUAUAUAUAUAUAUAUAUAUAUAUAUAUAUAUAUAUACAUAUUUAAUUGGACUUCUUAUUAUCUUAAUAUCGUAUAUUUAGAGCUCAUUUAAUUGUGUGAUUUAAAAAUAGUUUUUAGUUAUUAAAAAUAAAAAAUUGUUUUUAAUAUCAUUUGACGGUUGUUCUCUGAAAAUGAUUUUUAAAAAUAAAAUGAAAUAAAGAACAAUUUUUAGGAAACAAAUAAAGUUAUUUUCAUAAAUUUUAAAAAAUAAAAAUAAAAUAUGAGUCCGUUUAAUUAUGUUUUUAAAAAUUUGUUUUUAAGUUAAAGAAUAAAAAAUAGUUUUUAAAAACAAAUUUAAAAAACAUGGUAAAAAAAGACUGUUAUACUCUCAUUCAAAUGAUCAAGAUUUUGACUUCAGUUCCAUAUGUUGGUAUAUUAAAAUUUUUCUAUAUUAAAAAAUUUGGAUAUGAAUCAUAUGAUACUAUAAGUUGGUGCCAUGAAUGUUUCCUGAAAAACAAGAAAGGAAGAAGGGGGGAAGCCGGAAAGGUGCGGCGGUGGUGAGAAAAGCGAUGAUAUGAUAUAAUUUUUUGUAUUGCAUCAAAGUUUUCAAUAAAAUUCUAAGCAACCAUGAAAGUUGUUCAUCAUGUACCUGACACUUUGGACCGAGAUGAUGGCUCCUUUUUGGCUUCUAUUUCAUGUCACGUGCCUCGAAUAAUGUUAAAAAUAAAAAAAAUUAAAUAUAUACAUAUUUUAUAUUAUUCCAUAAAGUUGUGUUGAAAAUAUCAAUAUAUGUUAUUUAAAUUAUUCCUUAUUUUAUGUUUUAAGUUUUAAAUUAUUCCUACACCGUUUUGUAAUUUACUUUUUCUCAAAAUAUGUUUUAAGUUUUAACCACCUCGAAAAUCUUAUGUAAAACUUUCAUAAAUGAUUAAAAAAAUUAAUAACAUACAUUAGGUUGAGUGUUUUUUUAAUAAAUAAUUUAAUAAUGAAACCCAUAUAAAAUAAAUGUUAUUUAAAUUAUUCCUUAUUUUAUAUUUUUCUAAAACUCAAUAAAUAAUUUUUUGUAAUGGUAUUUCUCAAAAAGUUUAAACUCCUUAAUUUCAAAUAUUAUUUUUCUAACCAUAAAUCAUCUUUGAAAUAAAUAUUUUAAAAAUGAUAGUUUGAUUUAUCAUUUAAAUGUAAGUGUUUUAUAUAAAUUAUUUUAAAUUAACAUAAAAACUUUUUAGUUAUUAUUUGUUAGAAUUUUCAUAUUCUUUCAAAAGAGUAUAAAGUUCGUGUUAUUAAUUGUAUUUUUUUUCCUAUUAUUAUGCUUUUUAUAUAAUUUUUUUUUAAUUGGAUGAGUAAAAAAAAUAUUUAAAUAUAAAAUCUUAUAAAAAAGAAAUAAAAAUUUAUUAAACAACAAAUAUGAAUUUUUUGCUUUUAUAUUCUUUAUUAUUUAAAGUUUGUUUAUAUAGUUAUUACACCAACAUUGGCCUCACGAUGGAUUGAGCAAAACAUUUUCAAUAACCACUCAAUUAAUAUAAAGGAAAAAGAAAUCUAAAGAAGAGGCAAGAGAAAAGACUGGAGCACAUCCUCUCCACCACAAAACUAAAAAGCAUCUUAUUCAAACAUAAGUUUGUCUUAUCCUAUCCAACGUCAUCAUCCAACCAAGGAAAUGCAUUAUUAUUAUUUUUUUAUUUUUAUUAAAAAAAAAUAGAAAUUAAAGAAGAGACAAGGGAAAGGACAUAUGCAGCCCCCUCCAGGGCCUCCACCACACAACCUUGCCGUGAAGGGUGGUUUUCCCAAAACAGACUGUAAACGGAGCUGACAGCCAAAACUGUCAUAGCAUGGAUGUCAUUGUACUUACAUGGCAUGGAUGUCAUCAUAUGCGUCAUGGAAAUUUAGUUUUAUUUAAUUUUUAUUUAUUUUACUCCUUUUUAAAAUAAAAAAAUUUUGAUUAAAAAAAUUAAAAUUUUAGCUGACAGAGAGAAUUUAAAAAUGUAAAUAACAUACCAUAAAAUAAUAUUAAUAUAGAACAUUAUUCAAUAUAAAUAAAAUGCUUUUAUAUAUCUAAUAGCAUAAUGUAAUGUUUUUUUAUUUAUAAAUUCUAAAUAUUUUAAACACAAAUGUUAUUAUCAAAGAAAUAAAAAAAAUUAUUUACUAAAUUUUCAUUUAUACACUUCAUUUUGUCUAGUUUCAAAAAUAGAAAAUAAUAAUAACUUUACUUUUAAAACUUUACAUUAAAAAACUAAUGAUUUUUUAAAACUAUUUUAAAAAUAAAGGUAUUCAUAAAAAUUUAAUAUCUUAAAUUUAAAAUUUUUUGAAAGUUAUUUUUAAAAUUAUAAACUUGGUCUACACUUUUUGUAUAAGAGGAUUUUUUUUUUUUUAUAAGUUCUUACUAUUUUUUUAAAAUUAAAAAAAAACACCAAGAAGUAUGUCCAAAUGGACAUGAAAUUAUAAAUUAUCAAAUGAUUUUCAAAUAGUUGAGAAAGAUUUUCUAUAUAUAUUGUAGACCUGGUUGGCUGGGGGCCCCAAGGAGCAAGAGAUUGCUUCUUUUUCUUUAGAAAAGUGGGUGAGAUUGGAUAGGGGAGGACGGGAGCAGCUGGGAGAUUGGAGGGGGGAAAAGAAAAUGAUAAGAGAAGGGAAGUGGCAGCAGAUUGGAGGGGGGGUUUUUGGGUAGAAAAAAAAAUAUGGGAAGGAAAAUCUUGAAGAGAGAAAAUGGGCAGCAGCUAGGGGAGAAGAAGGAAACCGGGCAGCACAUGCACUGGAGAGGAAAACCGGGCAGCACAUGCAUUGGAGAGGAAAACCGGGCAGCACAUGCAUUGGAGGAGAUUUUGGGCAGCACAUGCAUUGAAAGAAGAAAAAAAAUCUGGGGACAAGAGAGGAAACCGGGCACCAAAUAGACCUUUCUUCAACCUCUCGGCCUCUCUCUUUGUUUUCCAUCUCCGGGUACUUUCUUUUCUCCACUCCAUGCUUGUUUUUUUUAACUUCUUUUCUAAGCUCAUUGUUGGAUAUAUAGGGUGAGGAUGAUAUGAGUUUAUUUAGGUUCUUAUUAUUGGAGCUUUGUUCUACCAUCUUCACCGCCAACCUGCCACCACUGAUCUUCAACCCGGAAUUUUUUUUAAAAAAAGAGUGAAACCAUCUUUUGAUCUUUGAAUGAAUAUUUUAGGCAAUGGGUUUUGUUGGUGGGCUCCCAAGGCAUUGACUUGUGGGUUUAAAUAGGUUCAUGUGGGCCUUAAGCCCUUUUCUUUUAGUUUGGGCCGGAUGGGUAAUGUUUGUUUGGGUCUCCUAGGUUGGGCUUUGCUGAAGCUGAAGGUUAUUUGGCACUUUUUUUUAUGGGCUUGAGAUGGAGCCCAAGGCUCUUUUAAUGAAUGGACAUGGGCCUUUUUUUUAUGAAUGGACAUGGGCUUGAUGGAGAGAUGGAGCCCAAGGCUCUUUUAAUGAAUGGACAUGGGCCUUUUUUUUAUGAAUGGACAUGGGCUUGAUGGAGAUGGAGCCCAAGGCUCUUUUAAUGAAUGGAGCCCAAAGCUCUUUUAAAGAAUGGACACGGGCUUAUGGACUUGGGCUUGGUGUAGAUGGAGCCCAAAGCUCUUUUAAUGAAUGGAUGUGGGCUUGGUGUAAAUGGAGCGCAGAGCUCUUUUAAUGAAUGGACUUGGGCUUGAUGGAGAUGGAGCCCAAGGCUCUUUUAAUGAAUGGACAUGAGUUUCUUUUAAUGAAUGGACAUGAGUUUCUUUUAAUGAAUGGACAUGGGCUUGAUGGAGAUGGAGCCCAAAGCUCUUUUAAUGAAUGGACUUGGGCUUGAUGGAGAUGGAGGCCAAGACUCUUUUAAUGAAUGAAGCCCAAAGCUCUUUUAAUGAAUGGACUUGGGCUCAUAGACUUGGGCUUAUGAUGGGGAUGGAACCCAAAGCACUUUCAAAAUCUUAUUAUUAUUAUUAGUCUUAUUAUUAUUAUUAUUAUUAAUUCAAACUUUCAAAAUCUUAUUAUUAUUAUUAUUAUUAUUAUUAAUUCAACUUUCAAAAUCUUAUUAUUAUUAUUAUUAUUAAUUCAAACUUUCAAAAUCUUAUUAUUAUUAUUAUUAUUAUUAUUAUUAUUAUUAUUAUUAUUAUUAUUAUUAUUAUUAUUAUUAAUUCAAACUCUCAAAAUCUUAUUAUUAUUAAUUCAACUUUCAAAAUCUUAUUAUUAUUAUUGAUCUUAUUAUUAUUAUUAUUAUUAUUAUUAAUUCAAACUUUCAAAAUCUUAUUAUUAUUAUUAUUACAAAUUCAACUUUCAAAUGUCGAUGUUUUCGCAGUUCAAUUUCCUAAAGUCCAUUUCUCAUUUUCUUUAACAAAUUUCCAUUUAAUCACCGGAGCUCUAAUCUUUUAAAUUUAAUUCCAAAUACUCCAAUUUUCAAAUAAACUACAAGAAUCCAGUUUUCACUCGAAUAGUUUUAAUCCCAUUUCAGUUCCUAAAUAAUCUUCUGAUCUUCUUGAUUUUACAUAAGCAAUAAUGAUUCCUUCAUAAUUCUAAAACACGGGAUUUGUGAGAUUAGCUCAUGAACAAUAAAUUAGGCUUUGUUGGGGGCCCUAUGUUUGAUCCCUUUUGACUGUCAAUUGUUGUGCUUAAUAUAUUUUGCUUGAGCUUCGUUUUGCACUCCGAUAUGCAUGGGCUAUACUUUGUAUUCAUUAAUUGUGCACUAAUCUCGUUUCUUGAUAGCGCAUUGUGGCUCGUGGCCAAGGUACACAUCCACUCCCAUUCUAGUCAAUCUCUAUUGUGUGUUUUGAUUUUCAUAUUAUGCAUGAUUUAGGUGCGUAUCCAUUGACUUUCUCGUUGAUCGUCGCGUCAGUUUCAUUUUAUUAGUAGAGACCCAUUUUAGAGACUUAGAGAGGUGUUAUGGUCUUUACCGUACCUUCCCGAUAAGUAACCUGACCCCCGAACCCGAUCCGGUUUUUCGUAGACCACAUUUUCCAAAAUAAGGAGUCACACUUAGGGUUUUUCUUUCUUAUUUUGUUUACCCUUUAAAAAUAAAACAAAAAUAAGUGUUUCAAUCAAUUAAAUCAUUUUUCAAAUAAAAAUCGAGCUCGCCAUUCGAGUGGGAAACGCAUGAGCCGAAAUGCGAGGUCCACAAUAUAUAUAUAUAGGUUUUUCGUAGACCACAUUUUCCAAAAUAAGGAGUCACACUUAGGGUUUUUCUUUUUUAUUUUAUUUACCCUUUAAAAAUAAAACAAAAAUAAGUGUUUCAAUCAAUUAAAUCAUUUUUCAAAUAAAAAUCGAGCUCACCAUUCGAGUGGGAAACGCAUGAGCCGAAAUGCGAGGUCCACAAUAUAUAUAUAUAUAUUUAUAUAUAUAUAAUAGGAAUGCAAUAUAUUUUUUAUUUUAAAAAAAUGGAUGUUGAGAUGUAAUAAAAUUUCUAUUAUAUUUUUUAUUCCUUUUAUAAAUUAAAUAUAAACAUGCAAUAAAAUAUUAUGUUGGAUUUAAUAUCUAAAAUACCAUUAUCACUUUAGAUAUAGUAUAUUAAGAUUUGAUUAUGUUAUGUCUUAUUUUAUCCAUCAAUUAAAUGCAUCCUCCAUAUUUUAUACCGAUCUUGCACAUGGAAAAGGCAAAAUGGAACUAAUUAGGCCACGUCAUAUAUGUAAUUUAAGUUUUAUCAUGUUAUACACUAGGUCUUUAACUUUGUACCUCAAAUAUGAUUUUAGUACUUUGUACCUUGACCUCAUUCUUGUUAGCAUCUUUAUUCAAAGCUCUAAAUUUUAUCAUAAACUUUGAAUGACUGCUUGGAUUUGAACUUCAAUAGAUGUCAAUUUGGUACCUUAGACCUUUUCGGAUCUUAAAAACAUAAAAGAAAAAUAAAAUUUUAAAUAAUGAAUUUGAAGAAAAAUGAUACCUUUGAUCUUAAUUUGAAGAAAAAAAGAAUGAAAUUGUGUGGACCCCGCAUUUCGGCUCAUGCGUUUCCCACUAGAUGGUGAGCUCAAUUUUCAUUUGAAAAAUGAUUUUUAUUGAUUAAAAAAAUGACUUGGAGUCGCCACUUAUUUUUGUUUUAUUUUUAAAAGGGUAAACAAAAUAAGAAAGAAAACCCUAAGCGCGACUCCUUAUUUGGAAAAGGUGAUCUACGAAAAACCGGAUCGGGCUCGGGGGUCAGGUUACUUAUUGGGAGGGUACGGUAAAGACCAUAGUACUCCUCUAAGUCCCUAAAGCCGGGUCUCUACUAAUACAAUGAAACUGACGUGGCAAUCAACGAGAAAGUCAAUGGAUACUCACCUAAAUCAUGCACAAUAUGAGAAUCAAAAACACGCAAUAGAGAUUGACUAGAAUGGGAGUGGAUGCGUACCUCGGCCACGAGCCACAAUGCGCUAUCAAGAAACGGGAUUAGUGCACAAUUAAUGAAUACAAAACAUAGCUCAUACAUAUCGGAGUGCAAAACGAAGCUCAAGCAAAAUACAGUAAGCACGAUAAUUGACAGUCAAAAGGGAUCAAACAUAGGGCUUCCAACAAAGCCUGAUUUAUUAUUCAUGAGCUAAUCUCACAAAUCACGUGUUUUAGAAUUAUGAAGGAAUCACUAUUGCUUAUGUAAAAUCAAGAAGAUCAAAAGAUUAUUUAGGAACUAAAAUGGGAUUAAAAACUAUUCGAGUGAAAACUGGAUUAUUGGAGCUUGUUUGAAAAUUGGAGUAUUUGGAAUUAAAUUUUAAAUAUUAGAGUUCCGGUGAUUAAAUUGAAAUUUGUUAAAGAAAAUGAGAAACGGACUUUAGGAAAUUGAACUGCGAGACCAUAGACUUUUGAAAGUUGAAUUUAUAAUAAUGAUAGUAAUAAGGUCUUGAGAGUUUGAAUUAAUAAUAAUAAUAAUAAUAAGAUUUCGAAAGUCUGAAUUAAUGAUAAUAAUAAUAAUAAUAAGAUUUUGAAAGUGUGAAUUAAUAAUAAUAAUAAUAAUAAGAUUUUGAGAAUCGAAUUAAUGAAAAUAAUAAUAAUAACAAUAAUAAUAAUAAGAUUUUAAAAGUUGAAUUAAUGAUAAUAAUAAUAAUAAUAUUUUGAAAGUUGGGUUAAUAAUAAUAAUAGUAGGAUUUUGAAAGUUAAAUUAAUAAUAAUGAUAAUAAUAAGAUUUUGAAAGUUGAAUUAAUAGUAAUAAUAAUAAUAAGAUUUUGAGAGUUUGGAUUAAUGAUAAUAAUAAUAAAAAGAUUUUGAAAGUGUGAAUUAAUAAUAAUAAUAAUAAUAAUGAGAUUUUGAGAGUUUAGAUUAAUGAUAAUAAUAAAUAGAUGUUGAAAGUGUGAAUUAAUAAUAAUGAUAAUAAUGAGAUUUUGAAAGUUGGGUUAAUAAUAAUGAUAGUAAUGAGAUUUUUGAAAGUUGGGUUAAUAAUAAUAAUAAUAGGACUUUGAAAGUUUGGAUUAAUGAUAAUAAUAAUAAUAAUAAAUAGAUGUUGAAAGUGUGAAUUAAUAAUAAUGAUAAUAAUGAGAUUUUGAAAGUUGGGUUAAUAAUAAUAAUAGUAAUGAGAUUUUUGAAAGUUGGGUUAGUAAUAAUAACAAUAGGAUUUUGAAAGUUUGGAUUAAUGAUAAUAAUAAUAACAAUAAAUAGAUUUUGAAAGUUGAGUUAAUAAUAAUAAUAAGAUUUUGAGAGUUUGGAUUAAUGAUGAUAAUAAUAAUAAUAAAUAGAUGUUAAAAGUGUGAAUUAAUAAUAAUGAUAAUAAUGAGAUUUUGAAAGUUUGGAUUAAUCAAUAAUAAUAAUAACAAUGAUAAUAAUAAUCAAUAAUAAUAAUAAUAAUAAUAAUAAUAAUAAUAGGCUUGGGUCUGGGCUCCAAAUUCAAACCCAAGCCCAAAGCCAAAACCAAACACAAAAUUGGGCCUAGUGCCUUAUCUCAAGCCCAAACCAAAUCUUCAUCUUCUUCCUAGCUUCUUCACAGCCCAACAGCAUCUUCUCCAUCUGGGCAACUCCUUUAGGAUAUCUCCACCAGCGUCGGGAUGGUGGAGAUGCGUGGCUUUUGAAGCCACGGCACCAGCCGGUGGACGUCUCUGCUAAUGGCGUCGUCGACCAUGCCGCGGGAGCAGUCGAAGAGGACGGCGAGCAGGCCGCCGUCGACAGCCUAGAGAGAGGCGUCCCGAACCGAAGCAGCAACGCCGAACUCCAAAGGUGGCUCCGGCGAGGUCUGUGGGGAAUGGAAGGCUUGCUUGGCUGCUGCCCGCUCCCAGCCACUGAAGAGGACUUGCGCACAUGGAGGUGUGAGUGAUGGUGAUUAUACGGGCAUAGAGAAAGAAAAGGUGGCGAGAAAUGGGAUUGGCGUGGAGAUGGGUAUGGAAAGCUGGGUGAGUGGAAUCAAACGGGUAUUAAAAUCAAGAUAUGCUUACGGGAAUCUCAUGAGGAAUCUGAAACAAUACUAAAUUUAUCUUCAAUAAGAACCAAAUAAAUAAUGAACCUGAACAUGCUAUAACCCCAUCAAACCAUUCUAAAGCUCAGCUGAGAUGCACAUAUGGCAUUGGACUUCUAUUCCCAUUCAACUAAUAGCAUCCAAUAGUCAACAAAGAUAGAGAAGAAAAACAGAUAAGUUGAAACGAAGUGGAAAAAUCCAUAAUAUUCAUACCUGAGGACAUUCUUCUUUUUCCAGAUGGGUUGGCUUCCUUACUGCUCUUUCUCCCCCAAAAGUCUCUCCUCAAAUAUCCUCCAACGACCAGCCCAGAGCUCCUCCUCCGCAGCUGAAAAAAAACUCUCUCCCUAAAACCAGGAAGACCCUUGCCCCUCUGCUGCUGCUCGCCACCUCAAAAUGACCCCCCCCCCCCCCCCCCCCCCCCUCUGCUCACUCUUCCAGAUGGCAGAAAAAGCUCUCUGCUCCUCCUGAAUCCAUCUCUCUCUAGCCGCCAGCCCAGAAAGCUCUGCCUCCCCCCGCAGCUUCAGAGCCCCCCAACCGUUUUUCUUCUCACGGUCUUUUCAUCCCUUUUCUUUUCUCUCUGUCAAGCUUCUAUUGGUUCCUCAAAAGCCCAUCUGAAUCUUCAACAGCCAAUCCGGGAGUGACACGUGGCUGCCUAAGAGCGCGACACUUGGCCAAAAACUAAUUGCAAAAAAUGAUUUAGAUAUAUCCCAAUUUGGGGGUCUACAAAUUGAAAGAGACAACAAUUAAAAUAUGAAUAAGGAAAAUAGGAAAAUGAAAUUUAUUAUAAUUUUUCAUCUUUUUUUGUUUGGUCUUUUAUUUCCUCAAUUUUUUUUUUGUAUUUAAAUAUAAGAAAAUCACAUUCCUUAAUAUUAUUUUCUUAUUUUUUUAAUAUUUUUUAAAAAUCAAACUGUGGACUCGGUAUUUUUCACGUGCGUCCCCAUUCGAUGGCGAGAUUUAUUUGGUGAAAAUUCGAUUUUUUGAAAAAGACUUGGAGUCGUCACUUAGUUUUAUUUUAUUUUUUUAAGGGAAAAACAAAAUAAGAAAUAAAAACCCUAAAUGUGACUCCUAAAUGAAAAACAGGUUUGCGAAAAACCGAAUUUGGGUUCGGGAGUCAGGUUACCUAUUGGAAAUGUAUGGUAAUGAAUUGUAACACCCCUUUAAUCCCGCAUACAUACGGUCUCUACUAAACGAAUUAAGAGAAUUGUGACAAUUAAUUAAUUAAUUAUGUAUACUAAGAAAAAUAACAUAUAAAAUUAUGGUAAAAAUCAAUAUACACAAAAAUAAUGAUGAAAUCUAAUUAAAAGAAUACACAAAAUAAAUGACAAAAGAAUUAUGCAAAAUGAUUUAUUUAAAUAAAUAAGAUAUUAAAAAAAUAUUUUUUUUCAAGAAAUUUCAAAGGAUUUUAUUAAAAACAAUUUUGAAUGAGUGAUUUCAAUUUAUUUAUUUACAAAAAAAAAGUCAAUUUAUUUUCUCAAUUUCAUUUGUAUUCAAUUUUUAGAAAAUUUAUUUACACUUAUUGUAUCAAAAGAAUUUAUUACAAAAUUUCAAUUUUGCAACAAAAAAAAUAUUUUUACUUGUUUUUUUAAAAAAAAGAACUUUUAUAAUUUUAUUUACAAAAGUAUUUGAAUUUGUUUUCAUUUAAGAAAAGUUACUUAUACAAUAUACACACACAUAUAUAUAUAUAUAUAACUUUAUUUGCAAAAGAAUUUUUAAAUAAAAAUUAAAUUUUUGGACAACUUUAUUUACAAAACAAUUUUUGGACAUUUUUUACUAAACAAAGAAUUUUUUAGACAAUGAUUAUUAAAAAACAAAUUUUUAAAUGCUAUUAAAAACAUUUUUUUGGAUUUUUCUAAAAGCAUUUUUCUGAAUUUUUAUUAAUAAUAAAAACUUUCUUUUACUUAGAAGAAUAUUUUAAAAUUAUUAUUUUAUUAAAACAUAUUUACUGAAUUAUUCUUUUUAUUUAAACAAAAUCUCUUAUUUGUUCGAAAUUCGAUUUUGUAAACACUCAAUAAAUAUUUACAAAUAAAUAUUUAUAGAAACUAGUAAAAAUAAAAUCAAAUAAAAUUGGGAAAUAAAACCUGUAUUCAAAUAAGCUUACAACAAGUUCAAUGUCUUCCUAAAACUUUUUUAUUCUCACUUUCUUCCAUGAAAUUUCAUACUCCACGCGUCAUAAAUUUGUACUCAGCCAACAAAAUUGUAGAAUAGACCCAUGCAAAAACAAAAAUAGCCCAAAUGUAAAUAUUCAAAGAUGUACAAAAUCCCAAACAAAUAUUCAAACCAAAAUUUAAAUUUCAAAUUAAUCUUAUAAAUUUCGUUAAUUAAAAUAAGUCCAAAUUACUAUAGGUUUUAGCCUAAAAUAUUCAAAUUAAUAACAAAAAAUACAAACACAAUCAACCAAACCUAAACCGAGAAGGAGAGUACCUCAACCGAGAAGGGAAGGUUACUGGAUGAGAGAAAAUGUUUUUGACACUUCUCGACCAGACCUUGAUCGGACAAGGGCAACCGAUCAACCGGUUCCCUGGUCGGUUGAGCCGGUUGGCCAAUGCCUCGACUGGUUCAGCCUUUUGGCCCCAAAAACCUAUCUUUUUCGGUUCUUUUCCUUUCCAAUACUUACGUAAGGUAUUUAGGUAAAUUAAUAUGUCAAUUUUGAAACGUUUUGCCUAAGGUACAUGUGGACCCCGUAUUUCGGCUCAUGCGUUUCCCACUCGAUGGCGAGCUCGCUUUUUAUUCGAAAAAUGAUUUUAUUGAUUAAGAAAAUGACUUGGAGUCGCCACUUAUUUUUGUUUUAUUUUUAAAAGGGUAAACAAAAUAAGAAAGAAAACCUUAAGCGUGACUCUUUAUUUUGAAAAAGGUGGUCUGUGAAAAACCAGAUCGGGCUCGGGGGUCAGGUUACUUAUCAGGAAGGUACGGUAUAAACCAUAACAUUCCUCUAAAUCCUUAAAGUUGGGUCUCUACUAAUACAAUGAAACUGACGUGGCAAUCAACGAGAAAGUCAAUGGAUACUCACCUAAAUCAUGCACAAUAUGAGAAUCAAAACACGCAAUAGAGAUUGAUUAGAAUGAGAGUGGAUGCGUACCUCGGCCACGAGCCACGAUGUGCUAUCAAGAAAUGAGAUUAGUGCACAAUUAAUGAAUACAAAACAUAGCUCAUGCAUAUCGGAGUGCAAAACGAAGUUCAAGCAAAAUACAUUAAGCACGACAAUUGACAGUCAAAAAGGGAUCAAACAUAGGGCCCCCAAUAAAACCCAAUUUAUUGUUCAUGAGCUAAUCUCACAAAUCCCGUGCUUUAGAAUUAUGAAGGAAUCAUUAUUGCUUAUGUAAAAUCAAGAAGAUCAGAAGAUUAUUUAGGAACUGAAAUGGGAUUAAAACUAUUUGAGUGAAAACUAUAUUAUUGGAGUUUAUUUGAAAAUUGGAGUAUUUGGAAUUAAAUUUAAAAUAUUAGAGCUCCGGUAAUUAAAUUGAAUUUGUUAAAGAAAAUGAGAAACGGACUUUAGGAAAUUGAACUGCGAGACCAUAGACUUUUGAAAGUUGAAUUUGUAAUAAUAAUAAUAAUAAUAAGAUGUUGAAAGUUUGAAUUAAUAAUAAUAAUAAUAAUAAUAAUAAUACUAAUAAGAUUUUGAAAGUUGAAUUAAUAAUAAUAAUAAUAAUAAUAAGAUUUUGAGAGUUUGAAUUAAUAAUAAUAAUAAUAAUAAGAUUUCGAAAGUUCUAAUUAAUGAUAAUAAUAAUAAUAAUAAUAAUAAUAAGAUUUCGAAAGUUUGAAUUAAUAAUAAUAAUAAUAAUAAUAAGAUUUUGAAAGUGUGAAUUAAUAAUAAUAAUAAUAAUAAGAUUUUGAAAGUUGAAUUAAUAAUAAUAAUAAUAAUAAUAAGAUUUUGAGAGUUUGAAUUAAUAAUAAUAAUAAUAAGAUUUUGAAAGUUGAAUUAAUAAUAAUAAUAAUAAUAAGAUUUUGAGAGUUUGAAUUAAUAAUAAUAAUAAUAAGAUUUCGAAAGUUCUAAUUAAUGAUAAUAAUAAUAAUAUAAUAAUAAUAAGAAGAAAUGAACUUUAGGAAAUUAAGUUGCGAGGAUAUAGAUUUUUAAUAAUAAUAAUAAUAAUAAUAAUAAUAAUAAUAAUAAUAAUAAUAAUAAGAAUUAAAAUUAAUAAUAAUAAUAAUAAUAAUUAAAAUUAAUAACAAUAACAAUAUUAAUAUAUGUUAAUAAUAAUAAUAAUAAUAUCUUAUAAUAAUAAUAAUAAUAAUAAGAAUUAAAAUUAAUAAUAAUAAUAAUAAUAAUAAUAAUGAUAAUAAUAAUAAUAAUAAUAAUAAUAUCACUAAUAAUAAUAAUAAUUAAAAUUAAUAACAAUAACAAUAUUAAUAUCCGUUAAUAAUAAUAAUAAUAAUAUCUUAUAAUAAUAAUAAUAAUAAUAAUAAUAAUAAUAUCACUAAUAAUAAUAAUAAUAAUAAUAAUAAUAAUAAUAAUAGCCUUUGGACGUCCACGAUCGGCGUUGCUUCGGACGCCGCUGUCCCCGUGGUGGGAUUUCACCACGCAAAAAAAAACUUCACCACGCGAAGAAAACUGGCCUGGAAUCAUACACAUGCCUGAAAAUCCUCCAGGGCUUCGACCACAAAACACACUGCAUGGAUGGCAGCCUCUCGUCGCUGCUCCGCCCAGAUCAGUACCUCCAAGGCCGCUUCGCCCAAGAACGAAGGAGUCGCAGUUCGGGGACCUGGAGCAUUGCCGACGAGCAUUGAUAGGAAAUCAGCCCGGAAGUCUUUUCUACAACAGGUCAGAGAGCUGACUUCCAUCUUCAAUGUAUGAAGAGUGUCAUCAGAUUAUCCAGUGGCGGGGUUCCAGAGGAUUAGAUAGUUUGGAAUCCCAGUAAGUCCCAGGUUCAAGCUUGGAAAUGGGUCAGUUAUCAAAACCAAAAUUUGUCUUAGAAGUUUUCUCAAUCGCACAAUGAGAGAUAGUGUCAUUUUUCCUUAUAAGGUUAGCAAUCUGCAUGCAUUUUAUGAGGGUGGAUGGAAGGUGCCCCUUUCACAAAGGCACUUCUCCAGUUUCGGUAACUCGGCCAUUGAUGGCCUCAUUCCCACAACCAACAAAGGAGCAAAGCAAUGAACAGAGAGGAGAAACAGCAGAGAACAAAACAUGAUUUUUAUAUAAUAAGAUUCAAGGAUGAAUUCAUACGUUAGGUACUUAUGGAAGGAGUCAAGAAAACCGAAAUAGAGUCAAAUAGAGCACAUACGCAUAUGGACAAAUUCAGCAAAACAAAACAAUAAUCCUUGACACCCAUACCAACCAACAAACCACUCCCAGAAAUCAACAGAAGGAUUUUAGUUAGCAGAACAAUAUCAUAACGUGAAAACAUGAAGUUCACAGAGAUUUUACCUAGAAGUUUUCUCCACGAGCAAGGUAUGUUCGUCUCUCCGCACCUUCCUCAUUUUCCCCUCAUUUUUUCCUCCUUCCUCCCUCUCUGCCAAAGAAAACCCCUUCCCGAAAGUCAACACCUAUUGCGCUAUUCACCACCUCAGCAUCUGUGGAGUCCCAACCACCCCCAUGGCUGCGGUCCUCUUCAUUGCCACGCGCCCCAUGCAUGGAGUUUUCUCUCAGCCGGUCCCCCCACUUAGGAAUGGUAAUUUCACGGGUUUUCCGGGUCACCCGCCUGACCCGCCCCUAUUGGGACGAGUAUAAGAACAUGGCAAUCGGGGAUGGGCCGGGUUCAGGCUUUUUUUAAAAACCUGAAUCGGGUUCGGGGCGGGGUCGGGUGUAGUUAUAAUUUGACCCGCCCCGCCUCGCCCCGCCCCGCCCCGAAUAUGAAAUUACAACUUUGUCCCCCACUUAUAAAUAUUAGCUUCCUCUCCUCAUUUCAGGUCUUCUUCUCUCAGUUCUCGUUCCUGUCUACGCUAGGGUUUUUCCUCCCACUCAAUGCAAAAAUCCAUCAAAUAAUCCAUUCGAAAAUCCAUCAGAUAUUUGCCUCUUCGUAUUCACCAUAUUUGUGGCCUACCAUCCCGGGGUUUUGUGGAGCCGUUUGGACGAUUUCUUUACUAGGUUUCAUCUCAAGGACUACGCUGUUUCGGAGGCAUCGAGGGAUUAUAGGAGGUUGGUGUAUGAGUUUUCAAAGAUGGGUUGUUUGAGAAAAAGGGGCAUGGGGUGUUUGUCACGCUCUGUGCGAUGGCGAUGAUGUUCUCCGCCUGUAUUUAUGGGGUUCUGGGGUGUGACAGCACAUGGGUUCAUAUCGCCAGUGGCACUUUGAUGGGCCUUUUCUGGAUUCAGAGUGGGUGGAUUGGGCACGAUUCUGGGCACUACUAGUGAUGAUGAACAAGCGUUUGAAGUUUGAACCGCUUUGUGCAGGUGUUGAGUGGGAAUUGUUUUGUGGAAUUGGAAGAUGCUGUUGAUGGUCCUGGCGGCAUGGGCCAGCACCCGACCCUGCCUCGCCUCGAGAGGCAUGGGGAUGGGAUCCCAUUAACCCACCCCGCCUCGGGUAUGGGACGGGGAUGGGAAAUAGAUUUAUAUAAUUGAGACGGGAAUGGGGUAGGGGUGGCCCCGCCCAAACCCGCCCCGUUGCCAAUCCUACCCUCAUUCCACCCAGCCAUCCCUCAAUGGUGGCGGGAAAGGCCUGAAAUCAAAAUAGACAUGCAAAGAAAACCCAAAAUCAAAAAAGGGGGUCUACAGUACAUUUGCUAAAACUCGAGUUUUAAUGAAAUUGUAACUUUAAAUAAUAAACCAAGUUUUCCAAAUAUGCAUAAAAAGAUAUAUAAAACCUAAGUGCACCCAUGUAUUCAUCUUACAUUUGUUUUAUAUGAUAAAGUCUUUCAAAUGUCUCAAUCUUAUAUCUAUUUGGUUUUUUGAUGAAUUUAUAAAUUUACACCUAAAAUUCUUUACCAUUCAAAUCAAUUAGUCACUUAACCAUGAUUUGUUAUCAUCAAAACCUGAUUAGGAGAACCCUUGGGCUAACAAUUACAAAUUCGGAAGGUAUCAAAUUUAUACCUUAGGAGUUCCUUUUAUUAAAUAUACAACAAGAGAUGAUAUAUAGAAGCUUAGAAAGUGAAUUAUUUUAGAGAAUGUUAAAAAUUUUGAUACACAAAACACAAAUUACUUAAAUAUAAAAUCGUAUCAAGGAUAAAUAUAAAUUUAUUAAACAAAAACUACAAAGUUUAUGCUUUUAUAUAUAUAUAUAUAUAUGCUGCUAUUGGCUUGAACAUUGGCCUCGCAAUGGACUAAAUAUUUCACUUUGACAAAACUUUUUCGUCCCCACUCAAUUAAUAAAGAAAAAUACACAAUUAAAAUAAAUAAACAAAAGAAAAAAAGAGUUGUGCACCUUCUCCCCACCACACAACUAAUAAAUUCUAUCAUAUUUGACUCAAUGGUGUUAUCCGUACUUCCUAACAUGGGUUGGCAAAAUAUAUUAGGGACUUUUAACAUAGAAAUUAAAGACUAUAUUUUGCUUUGAAAAUAUUAAAUAAAGGAAAAAAUUGUUAAAAAAAAUAAUUUUAUUAUAUUUGGUUUUAUUAUGAAAAAUAUAAUUAAAAUUAGUUAGAAAUUUAUAUAAUUUUUAUAUAAAAAAAUAAGUGAAAUAAGUUUAAAAUAGUAUAUAAAAAUAAUUUAUUUAUUUUUAUUUUUAUUUUUUAAUUUUUUUUCUCUUGCAUUUUAUUUAGAUAAAAAAAAAAAUAAAAAAAGAAGAGAUAAGGAAAAGGAAAGUACAUAUGCACUUUCUUUCUACCAAUGAUGAAAAUAUCGAUAAUUAUGGAUAUAUCGGUAUUUUGAUUUUACGGAUAUAUUAAAAAUAUCGAUGAAUAUUUUUUUUCACAAAUAUGGGUGAAGAGAAACUUAUUUAAAAUUCAUAAAAAUGCUUUAAAAAACUCCAAGAAUUGAUAAAAUAAGUAAGAAUACGUAUUUUAUAUAUAUAUAUUUUAUAUUAUUCCAUAAAGUUGUGUUGAAAAUAUCAAUAUAGUUUUAAAAUUGCUAUUUGGAAGAGUUCAGAUGUGUGGUCUUUUAUAUCACAUCCAGAAAAUUGAGAGGAUGAGUCAUAGAUCACUAUCAAAAUCAUUGUAAAUCACGUGACUCCUUGAUACGUGGCUGGUUGCUGUUGGUUCACCUCUCCUACUUCUCCUACACCGUUUUGUAAUUUACUUUUCCUCAAAAUAUGUUCUAAGUUUUAACCACCUCGAAAAUCGUAUGUAAAACUUUCAUAAAUGAUUUAAAAAAGUAAUAACAUAUAUUAGGUUGAGUGUUUUUUUAAUAAAUAAUUUAAUAAUGAAACCCAUAUAAAAUAAAUGUUAUUUAAAUUAUUCCUUAUUUUAUAUUUUUCUAAAACUCAAUAAAUAAUUUUUUGUAAUGGUAUUUCUCAAAAAGUUUAAACUCCUUAAUUUCAAAUAUUAUUUUUCUAACCAUAAAUCAUCUUUGAAAUAAAUAUUUUAAAAAUGAUAGUUUGAUUUAUCAUUUAAAUGUAAGUGUUUUAUAUAAAUUAUUUUAAAUUAACAUAAAAACUUUUUAGUUAUUAUUUGUUAAAAUUUUCGUAUUCUUUCAAAAGAGGAUAAAGUUCAUGUUAUUAAUUGUAUUUUUUUUUCUUAUUAUUGUGCUUUUUAUAUAAUAAUUUUUUUAAAUUGCAUGAAUAAAAAAAUAUUUAAAUAUAAAAUCUUAUAAAAAAGAAAUAAAAAUUUAUUAAACAACAAAUAUAAAUUUUUUGCUUUUAUAUUCUUUAUUAUUUAAAGUUUGUUUAUAUAGUUAUUGCACCAACAUUGGCAUGACGAUGGAUUGAGCAAAACAUUUCCAAUAACCUCUCAAUUAAUAUAAAGGAAAAGACAUAUUAAAAAGGAGGAAGAGAUCUAAAGAAGAGACAAGAGAAAAGACCGGAGCACAUCCUCUCCACCACAAAACUAAUAAGCAUCUUAUUCAAACAUAAGUUUGUCUUAUUCUAUCCAACGUCAUCAUCCAACCAAGGAAAUGCAUUAUUAUUAUUAUUAUUAUUUUAUUAAAAAAAAUAGAAAUUAAAGAAGAGACAAGGGAAAGGACAUAUGCAACCCCCUCCACCACACAACCUUGCCGUGAAGGGUGGUUUUCCCAAAACAGACUGUAAACGGAGCUUACAGCCAAAACUGUCAUAGCAUGGAUGUCAUUGUACUUACAUGGCAUGGAUGUCAUCAUAAACAUCAUGAAAAUUUAGUUUUAUUUCAUUUUUAUUUAUUUUACUCCUUUUUAAAAUAAAAAAAUUUUGAUUAAAAAAAUUAAAAUUUUAGCUGACAGAGAAUUUAAAAAUGUAUAUAACACACCAUUAAUAAUAUUAAUAUAUAACAUUAUUCAAUAUAAAUAAAAUGCUUUUAUAUAUUUAAUAGCAUAAUGCAAUGUUUUUUAUUUAUAAAUUCUAAAUAUUUUAAACACAAAUGUUAUUAUCAAAGAAAUAAAAAAAAAAUUACUAAAUUUUCAUUUAUACACUUCAUUUUGUCUAGUUUCCAAAAUAGAAAAUAAUAAUAACUUUUUAUAUAAAAUUCAAGAACUUUUAAAACUUUACAUUAAAAAGCUAAUAAUUUUUUAAAACUAUUUAAAAAAAUAAAGGUACUCAUAAAAAUUUAAUAUCUUAAAUUUAAAUUUUUUUGAAAGUUAUUUUUAAAAAUAUAAACUUGGUCUACACUUUUUGUAUAAGAGGAUUUUUUUUUUAGAAGUUCUUACUAUUUUUUUUUAAUUUAAAAAAAAACACCAAGAAGUAUGUUCAAAUGGACAUGAAAUUAUAAAUUAUCAAAUGAUUUUCAAAUAGGACUAAACAUGAGAAAGAUUUUCUAUAUAUAUAAAUAUUUUAUAAUAGGAAUGCAAUAUAUUUUUUAUUUUUAAAAAAAUGGAUGUUGAGAUGUAAUAAAAUUUCUAUAAUAUUUUUUUAUUCCUUUGAUAAAUUAAAUAUAAACAUGCAAUAAAAUAUUAUGUUGGAUUUAAUAUCUAAAAUACCAUUAUCACUUUAGAUAUAAUAUAUCAAGAUUUGAUUAUGUUAUGUCUUAUUUUGUCAUGUUCAACCAAUCAAACUUAAAUUACCUUAUUUAAUGUUUUUAUCCAUCAAUUAAAUGCAUUACAUGGAUAGGCAAAAUGGAACUAAUUAGGCCACGUCAUAUAUGUAAUUUAAGUUUUAUCACAUUAUUUUAGUACUUUGUACCUCAAAUAUGAUUUUAGUAUUUUGUUCCUUGACCUCAUUCUCGUUAGCAUCCUCAAAGCUCUAAAUUUUAUCAUAAACUUUGAAUGACAGCUUGGAUUUGAACUUCAAUAGGUGUCAAUUUGGUACCUUAGACUUUUUCGGACCUUAAAAACAUAAAAGAAAAAUAAAAUUUUAAAUAAUGAAUUUAAAGGAAAAUGAUACCUUUGAUCUUAAUUUGAAGAAAAAGAAUAAAAUUGAAAGAGACAAAAAAUUAAAAUAUGAAGAAGGAAAAUAGGAAAAUGAAAUUUAUUAUCAUUUUUCAUCAUUUUUUGUUUGAUCUUUUAUUUCUUCAUUUUUUUUUUGUAUUUAAAUAUAAGAAAAUCACAUUCCUUAAUAUUAUUUUCUUAUUUCUUUAAUAUUUUUAAAAAAUGAAACUGUGGACUCUGUAUUUUUCACGUGCGUCCUCAUUCGUUGGCGAGAUUCGCUUUAAAUUUAUUUAUUUAGUGAAAAUUUGAUUUUUUGAGAAAGACUUGGAGUUGUCACUUAUUUUUAUUUUAUUUUUUAAGGGAAAAAUAGAAUAAGAAAUAAAAACCCUAAAUGUGACUCUUGAAUGAAAAACAGGUUUAGGAAAAACCGAAUUUGGAUUCGGGGGUUAGGUUACCUAUUGGGAAGGUAUGGUAAUGAGCCGUAGCACCCCUCUAACCCCGUAUACAUACGGUCUCUACCAAACAAAUUAAGAGAAUUGUAACAAUUAAUUAAUUAAUCAUGUAUGCCAAGAAAAAUAACGUAUAAGUCAUGCUAAAAAUCAAUAUACACAAAAAUAAUGAUGAAAUCUAAUUAAAAGAAUACACAAAAUAAAUAACAGGAGAAUUAUACAAAAUGAUUUAUUUAAAUAAAUAAAUAAGAUAUUAAAAAAUAUUUUUUUCAAGAAAUUUUAAAUGAUUUUAUUAAAAAAAAUUUUGAAUGAGUGAUUUCAAUUUAUUUAUUUACAAAAAAGAGUCAAUUUAUUUUCUCAAUUUCAUUUGUAUUCAAUUUUCAGAAAAUUUAUUUACAUUUGUUGUAUUAAAAGAAUUUAUUACAAAAUUUCAAUUUUGAAACAAAAAAAAUAUAUUUUUACUUGCUUUAAAAAAAAAAGAACUUUUACAAUUUUAUUUACAAAAGUAUUUGAAUUUGUUUUCAUUUAAGAAAAGUUAUUUAUACAAAUUAUUAAAUAUAUAUAUAUAUAUAUAUAACUUUAUUUGCAAAAGAAUUUUUAAAUAAAAAUUAAUUUUUUGAACAAUUUUAUUUACAAAACAAUUUUUAGACAUUUUUUACUAAACAAAGAAUUUUUUAGACAAUGAUUAUUAAAAAACAAUUUUUUAAAUGCUAUUAAAAACAUUUUUUUUUAUUUUUCUAAAAGCAUUUUUUUGAAUUUUUAUUAAUAAUAAUAAAAAAACUUUCUUUUACUUAGAAGAAUAUUUUAAAAUUAUUAUUUUAUUAAAACAUAUUUACUGAAUUAUUCUUUUUAUUUAAACAAAAUCUCUUAUUUGUUCGAAAUUCAAUUAUGUAAACACUCAAUAAAUAUUUAUAAAAACUAAUAAAAAUAAAAUCAAAUAAAACUGGGAAAUAAAAUGUGUACCUAAAUAAGCUUACAACAAGUUCAAUGUCUUCCUACAACUUUUUUAUUCUCACUUUCUUUCAUGGAAUUUCGUACUCCACGGGUCAUAAAUUUGCACUUAGCCAACAAAAUUGCAGAAUAGGUACAUGUAAAAACAAAAAUAGCCCAAACGUAAAUAUCCAAAGAUGUACAAAAUCUCAAACAAAUAUUCAAACCAAAAUUUAAAUUUUAAAUUAGUCUCAUAAAUUUCGUUAAUUAAAAUGAACCCAAAUUACUAUAGGUUUUAGCCUAAAAUAUUCAAAUUAAUAACCAAAAAUACAAACACAAUCAACCAAACCUAAACCGGGAAGGAGAGUACCUCAACCGGGAAGGGAAGGUUACUGGAUGAGAGAAAGUGUUUUUGAUACUCCUCGACUAGACCUUGACCGAACAAGGGCAACCGAUCAAUCAGUUUCUUGGUCGGUUGAGUCGGUUGGCCAGUGCCUUGACCGGUUUAGCCUUUUGGCCCAAAAAACCUAUCUUUUUCGGUUCUUUUCCUUUCCAAAACUUAGGCAAGGUCUUUAGGUAAAUUAAUAUGUCAAUUUUGAAAUGUUUUGUCUAAGGUAUAUUUGCUAAAACUCGAGUUUUAAUGAAAUUAUAACUUUAAAGAAUAAAUCGAAUUUUCCAAAGAUCCAUAAAAAGAUAUAUAAAACCUAAGUGCACCCAUGUAUUCAUCUUACAUUUGUUUUCGAUGAUUAAAAGUCUUCCAAAUGUGUCGAUCUUGUAUCCAUUUGAUUUUUUGAUGAAUUUUCAAAUUUACACCUAAGAUUCUUUACUAUUCAAACCAAUUAGUCACUUAACCAUGAUUUGUUAUCAUCAAAACCUAAUUAGGAGAAUCAUUGAGCUAACAAUUACAAAUUCGGAAGGUAUCGAAUUUAUACCUUAGGAGUUCCUUUUAUUAAAUAUACAACAAGAGAUGAUAUAUAGAACAUAGAAAGUGAAUUAUUUUAGGGAAUGUUAAGAAUUUUGAUACACAUAAUACAAAUUACUUAAAUAUAAAAUCGUAUCAAGGAUAAAUAUAAAUUUAUUAAACAAAAACUACAAAGUUUAUGCUUUUAUAUAUAUAUAUGUUGCUAUUGGCUUGAACAUUGGCCUCGCAAUGGACUAAAUAUUUCACUUUGACAAAAGUUUUUCGUGACCACUCAAUUAAUAAAGGAAAAGACACAAUUAAAAUAAAUAAACAAAAGAAAAAAAGAGUUGUGCACCUUCUCCCCACCAUACAACUAAUAAAUUCUAUCAUAUUUGACUCAAUGGUGUUAUCCGUACUUCCCAACAUGGGUUGGCAAAAUAUAUUAGGGACUUUUAACAUAGAAAUUAAAGACUAUAUUUUGCUUUGAAAAUAUUAAAUAAUGGAAAAAAUUGUUAAAAAAGAUAAUUUUAUUAUAUUUGGCUUUAUUAUGAAAAGUGUAAUUAAAAUUAGUUAGAAAUUUAUAUAAUUUUUAUAUAAAAAAAUAAGUAAAAUAAGUUUAAAGUAGUAUAUAAAAAUAAUUUAUUGAUUUUUAAUUUUUUUUUCUCUUGCAUUUUUUUUAGAUAAAAGAAAAAAUAAAGAAAGAAGAGAUAAGGAAAGGGAAAGUAUAUAUGCACUUUCUCUUCACUAAGGAUGAAAAUAUUGGUAAUUAUGGAUAUAUUGGUAUUUUGAUUUUACGGAUAUAUAAAAAAUAUUGGUGAAUAUUUUUUUCACUAAUAUCGUUGAAGCGAAAAUUAUUUAAAAUUCAUAAAAAUGCUUAAAAAAACUCUAAGAAUUGAUAAAAUAAGUAAGAAUCCGUAUUUUAAAGUUAUUUUAUAAAUAUAAUUGAUAUAAAUAUGAUCAAGAAGAAAAAUAUCGGUAGACAGAGAUAUAUCGAUAGAUUUGAUAUUUGAAUUUUAAGAAUAAUAAAUAUAAAUUUUGGAAGUGUAUAAAGUUAAGAAAUAUUUGAUUUUAUUAAAUAAAAACAAUUUAUAUGUAAAUAUAAUGCAUAUGACAUUGCAAUAGUCUUAUUAUUAAAAUGAAAAUCAAUAUGAUUUUAUCAUAUUAUUAUAUAAAGGGAUCCUAUCUUGUUGAAGAUAAUAUUUAUUUUAAAAAUUUUAAAAUAUUUUUUUAUUAAAACAUGUUUUAUUAUAUUUUAAAUAAAAAAUUAAAUUAAUUUAUAUAACAUAUUUUAUUUGAGAUUUAAUUUCUAAAAUUUUAUUAAAAAUAUGUGAUAAUAAUUUUUUCUAUUAACAUUAAUUUAUUUAAAUAAUUAAAAUUAUUAAUAAUUUAUCUUAUCAAAUUAAUUUUAAUUUAUAAAAUAUCAUCGAAAAAAGUCGAAAUUUCGUAGUGAUUUAAUCAAAAUAAUGAUGCAUAAUUAAUAAUUAUUUAUACAGAGGGUGGAAACUUGUUCUCAUGAUUUGUUUCUUUUUAAAUCUCUACUAAAUUUAAAAACCGAAAGGGCCACUCACUUCUCUCACUCGGGCAUCAAGAAGCCCUUAUCUGAAGUUGCCUUCCAGACGAGAGAAUCCCUAAAAAGACCCUGUUUUCCUCUGCCACUCUCAAUCCUCGCAGGUUCUAAUCUAAUCAUGUUAUUUUUUUUUUUUGCAACCCCCGUUUGAUUCCCAAGAAAAUCCAUCCCCAUUCGAUUUCAGGGAAAAUUCAUCCUCGUUUGAUUUUCGAGAAAAUCCAUGCAAAACCCCCAAGGAAAACCAAAAGCAUUGCUAUUUUUUUUUGCUCCCUGUGUUUUCUGGAUAAGUUCUAGGGGUCUUUUUGCUUUUGUGCCAUUCGAUUUAAAUUUCAUGAACCCUAAAUCCACGAUUUUUGAGCCAGGCUGAAAAACACAACCUUUGCCUGCAAAUCAUGAUUAGAUUACUAAAUAGCAUCUUAUGUUUUUGUUCUAAAAAAAAUUGGACAAAUUUUGUAUCCUGUGCGCGGGUCGGGCUGGUUGGAAAUAUCGGGAAAUUUCCCGAAAAAUCGGUAAAAAUACCGAUAAGUACCAAAAUAUCGGCGAUAUUUUCGAAAAUUACCGAAAUUUCCGUCGACCGAUAAUCGGUGACGAAAAAUUUCGACAUUUCAAUCCUUGGUCUCCACCACUCAACUUCACGGUAAAGGGGACCACAUUUGCUUUAUUUAAUGGCAAAUUUUAGAUCAUCUCUAUAAGACUUUUUUCAUUUAUCUCAACAAUUCUUUGAAGUGCUUUGUUAUUUUUUAAUUUCUAUCUUCCGAAAACACAUCUUCUUUGGAUUAUCAUCUGGUAUCAUAGUCAAGUUGAUCAGAUGGUUAUCUCAAUCCAACCUACCAUCCCAUUUUUUGAAGGAAAUGGAUAUGAUACUUGGAGCAUAAAGAUGAGGACUCUUUUUAUCUCCGAAGAUCUGUGGGAGCUUGUGGAUAAGGGUUAUGUAGAAGAGGAAAUUCCAAGAGAUGCUAUGAGAGAUGUACGAAAG